rnacentral:lncRNA from 1 species
UUUUUUUUUUUUUUUUUUUGCAAAAUGCAGCUAUCAAGAUUCGAACUCAAGACCUUUAUAAUAGAAGACCAAUGUAUUAACCGUUGCACCAUUACAUCCUAUUAGUUUUUUCUGAUAACUUAUUUAUAUAAAGCAAACACUCAUAUUUCUUUUUUCCAUUUUUCUUACAAAAUCUCAUUCUCUCAUGACUCUUUCUUUUUAAUUUUCAACUCUCUCUCUCUAUCCUCUUUUUUUUUGUCAUUCCCUUUUUAAUCAAACCUCUUUAUUUUUAAUUUAUUGAUGUUUUCUUCCAUCUUUUAAUUUUGUUUUUGUCCAUUAAAUUGAAAAAAGUUUAAAAAGAAUUAUUUUUUUAACCCAAAUUAUUUAAUGCUACAACCACUCACUUUUAUCUCAUUUUUUGUUCCUUAUCAAGUUUACAUUUCUAUUUUCGAUUUUCUUGACUUCCUUCGAACUCCAAACUUCCUUUUUUUAAUUGCAAUCUCUAAAACGUAAAUUAAAAUUUAAGUUCACAAUAUCUAAAUUCUCAUAGACGUGAAUUUUGUAUAAUUUCAAAAUAUUGUGAUAUUUUUGGGUUGGAUUUAGAUAUAAUUGAAAUUGAGAUGAAAUUUAUUUGUUUUAACUUAUAAUUUAAAAAAUUUAUUUUUAAAAAAUCCAAGUUAUUAAAAAAUAGUAAACCUUUCAUCAUAUAAAGUAUUAAAUUAAUCCAUUACAUGUCUUAUUUUGUACAUAUAUAUAUUUAUAUAAAUAAUUUUUUAAAAAAUUCAUUGAACCGAUGUUGAACCGGUCUGACCAGUUGAACCUCGACUCUUUCACUUCACCGGUUCAAUGAACGGUCCGGUUUUUAAAACAUUGGAAGAAACAUGCUGGAAUUUUUCCAGCUUCAUCCGAGAGGAAGAAACUGAAAUUUGCAUCUUAGUAACCGAAUGUAUGGAAUAACUUUCUGCUAGAAGCUCAAACCAUGUGUUAUUUCCUUGUCUUAUCUGAGUAACUAGUGCAGAGUUGUUAGCUUGAGUGAAAAAUUUGCAAGAAUUAACCGGUGGUUCUGUCUAGCUAGCCGAGAGAUGAAGUAAGGAAAUUUUCCAAUUUUCUUGACAGAUUUUUGGGUUCCAAAUUCCUACGUUGAAGCUGAAUACCUUGCAUAAUUUUUUUAGUUUUAGCAUGCAUGUUGGAGUUGAAUGGGAACUGAAGUAGUUAAUGGAGAAAUCUCUUGUUUAAAAACUGAUUGCGGUCCAAAACAGUCACAGCUUGACCGAGAGAGAGAAAUAGACUUCAGAUCAGUUUUUCCUUUCAAAUUCUGGCUGUAAAAUUUUAUAUUAAUCAUCAAGUUUACUCUGUAGUUGGAGAAUUAUCUUUUGCAUGAUGAGUUGGAGUUAAAAUUGAAGAAAAUUAUGGAGAAAGCACCAUAUGUUAAAUUGCUAUACUGCUGGAAAUUGUGAUGUGUUGCUGGCCGAAUUAGUUGAGGCUUUUGGUGGGAUUAUUUUCUGGAAUUGUGUGUUAUUUGUUCUAGUUUGGGUGGGCAAAUUAUGAGCUACGUGUUUAGUGUUUCAAGCCAGUAAAAGAUGGAGAUUUGUUGAACAAUUUGAAUGAUAUUGCUGGAAAUUAUACUUGUUGGCCGAAACAGGGAAGAGAUGAACUUUCCUUGAAGUUUUUGAACAAAAUUCUAAGAUAGUUUGUUGUAACUAUACAUAUAUAUAUAUAUAUAUAUAUAUAUAUAUAUAUAUAUAUCCAUUUGUAGCAUCUUAACCUUUUUUGAAUACUUUAAAGAAUUUAAAACUCGAAGGGCUAGUGAAGUGGAACAAAUAGGAAUAACAUGCAAACUAGAGUCUAGUUCAGUCUAAAGGGGAAGAAAUAAAAGUUCCAUCAGCUUUAAUUGUUAAGAUUAGAAUGAAAUGAUUUUAUCUUAGCUCAAAUGUUUUAUAAGAUCUUAAAAUUUAUAUAUGUACGUUAACCUUGUUUUAGAGCUACCAAACCUAAUGGAUUUUGAAGUAAUAUUGCUGAAUUAUGUUGAAUGGUUGAAUUGGUAAUGAGAUUAAGACAUAUAUAAUGUUUUAGAAACUCUAAGGUAAUUUGUUAUGGCUAUAUACACGAAAUGGCUCCUAAUCACUUAAAUUAGUUUUUAUAAUAUUUAAGAGACUAUAAAACUUGAGAAGUUCAGCUUGUGAAAUAAAAUUUAAUUCACAAACAACCUAGAGCUUAGUUAGUCUUAAAAGGGAAAAUGGAGUAUCUAUAAGCCAUAAUUACUACUGGAUUGAGAAAGUAUAUUAGUUUAAACAUUAUACAGGUUUAUAAACUUGAAGAUAGGUAUUUCAUGGUUUAAAAAUAAUAAAGUCAAUAAGUUUCGAAAAUAAAAUGAUAAAUAACUAUUGAGAAUGUUAUAGUUGUAUUUUAAGGUCAAACUUGAUUUUAAUAAGUUUAAAUAAAAGAAUAACAAAUGAUCGACUACAAAUUAUAUAUUUACUUUGAACUUAUUAACUUGUACUAGGAAGUAGCCGUGAACCAGGAAAUCAACUUGAGACUCGAGAGUAGUCAUUUGAAUCCUUGGUGAGUGUUUUCCGAAUUAUGUGUUAACUAUUUAUGUGUAUGUAUUAUGAAUAUUGCUAAGUGAUUCAUUGUGAAGUGUUUUCAAUUGUCCCUCGCCUUCUAAGUCUAGAGUGUACUUCAUCGCACUCGACUUAGUUUGAGCUUGAAGGUAUUAAGCUAAGAAACUCUUAUUCUCUCUCUUAUGUUACAUUUUAUUGGAUAGAUGACUUGAAUCUUGAAUUAUAUUGGAUGAUACUCUAGUUUUGGUGAAGAUUAACGAAUUUCAGCUAGGGUUAGUGAUUCUGCCCAGUUUUUGGACCCAACUGGAACUGCAUAUUCGUCCAUGAUAAAGAACAAAUCAGUUCUUGCUCAAAACAUGAAAGUUUUAUGUAAUUGAGUUAGCUAGAUACCUACAAAAUUUCAGCUCAAUCGGAGCACUGUAGAAAAUGAAAUGACUAAAAUAUCCCUAACUGCCCAAUUACCCAGAUUAGCUGACAGUCUUCUAGUUUCUCCGAGAUUGCGAUUUUUGACCUUGAAGAUGCAAGAACUGGGUGUCAGUGUCUUCAUAGGAAUAGUUUCGAAACGCCAUAAAAUUUAUCCCAAUCCGAUAAGCAUAGCUUCAGUUGUGACUGCCGAGAGAUGUCAAGCCUACUGUGUGGCUAUUUGUCUUUAAAACUAGUUUCUAACUUCUAGCUUUGAUUUGGAUGGUUGCACUGCUCGAAUUGACUUGUAAUUGGAUAAUAUUGAGUCUAGUUGAAUUGCUAUUGUGUUGAGCUUGCUUAUAUGUUGAAUUAGGCUAAGUUGAGGAAACUAAUGAAGUCAUAAAUGGCUGGAAAAUAGCUAAAUACAAAGGGCAUGCUGCCCAAAUUUUCACUCGAAGGUUAGACGUGUGUACUCGCGGUUUGAGCGAAGAUUUGAGGUCGAAUUGAACUUGGAAUGUCUAUGGUAUUUGAGUCUUCUUUCGUAAAGGUAUAUAAGCUAAAAUUUGGUCGAAACUCAUAUCCUUGGAAAAAUGAAAGUGGUGACCACUCGGAAUAUAUUUUCUUCGUCUUUUAGACUCAAAUGCUUAGUUGCUUCUUUAGUAAUACCAAAAGAGUGAGCAUGAAUUUUCUAGUGUUUGAUACAUAACAUGAAUCCUAUCUAAACGAGUUUCAUUUACUUGAUCUGUUUAAAGCAAAACUCUUAAGUUUCGAACCCUAAUGAUUUGAAGCUUUUAAAUGAUAUUGUAUCGCAGAUUUGGACUCCAACCAAGGAGUUACAUUUGAACGUGAUUUUGGCAAGCACUAAAUCUUUGGUGAGUGCUUCCAAAUACCUGAUUGAACUGGACACUAGUUUUCAAUACUUGACCAAUAUGAUCGAAUAAUAUGUGAUUGGUAUGAUCGGGCAAGGGUGUACUUUAUCGCACUUGCCCUAAUGUGUUUAUUGUUGCAAUUGACUUGAGAUACUUGUGCGUGACUUGUAAGUACUGAGCGGCAGUAUGUACCACACUCGAUCCGAGUGGGAGAUAUCUCUCAUUUCUGUCUCCGUACUUUUAUCUUGAUUCAGUCAAUUGGAGAUGUAUCUCAUCGACUUCUUGGGGGCCCAAACUCUACUGGCUAAUUAAUCGAGUCGAGCCAGUAAGGGCUUGGUCGAUUAGAUAAUGAACCAUGGAUAUCUAGUAUUGUUGAGUGGAGUGCUAUCUACUCAACUAAUCAGUAUACUCGAGUAUUAUCACCAGUAUUUAUCAAGGAGUUCGGGCCCAGUAAGGGGUUUGGUUGGUGGACGGAGAUUGGAGUUAAGUGAUGUACUACUGGACUAAUUACAUUACUUGAAAGUUGACGGAGUGUCAACUACUAUUUGAUCAAACUAUUGUGGAACUGGUUUACCAAAGCAACUAUAUCCUUUUAUGUGAAAUACUGAAUUUGAAAUGUUGGUUGUACAAGUGUAUUGCUCAUUUUCUUGACUUGUUAUGCUCACUAUUUCGCUACUAUGAUACAUUUACUAUUAAUUAAUGGUCAAUUUGCUAUUUGGAACAUCACUGAGUUUUAUCUCACUCCGUUAGUUUUGUUUUCCUUACAGGGGGUACGAGCGAGGCGUGAGACUUGUACAGAGUAGCCUAGUUUUGAAUUUUGAAUUGUACUCGCACUAACACCCGAUUAGGGUUGAUUGUACUUGGAUUGUAAACCCGUUAAUGUAAUUAGGCGUGUAUAAGCCUUGUAGUUGGAUUUGAGCAUAGAUGUAUAUAUUAAGUUUGAAAUGGUUGUGUUAAUUAUUUUCGAUGAAUGUAAGUUAUUUUCUCGAGCUAUGAGUGAGUGAAUCCUGAUGAGAGUUGGGCAGGCAACUCGCUAAACUCUAGGGUACGCCUUAGGAGGAGGUGGAGUCGUCACAGGGAUAGGUCAAUUUACCAGGUUUUGGGGGUAAUUCACAUGUAGCAUUCUCCCUUGUCUCGAGAUUUUCUGGACAAGUUCUCUUGUUAUGGCCAAGUGUCGUGCAUUUGCUAUACUUGUUAGAGUUGGACGGUGGUGCCCUCUUAUUGCUAGAUGCACCAAGCUCAUUAGAAGGUACUAGCAGUGGACACUUUCUCACUGUAUGCCUCUUUUGAUUGUAUUUUUUACAUGCCAUUCUAACAAGGCCAGAUUUGGAAAGUUUGGUAAACCCCUUUGAAUUAGGCAUAGGCUCUUCUAGUUCCCUUCUUCUUACUUUCUUUGGCCGAUCAGGUAACUUCAACCUCAAGGGUGAUAAGACAGGAUCCUUAUCCGGUUGCACCCAAACAUUUGGCCUACUCAAAGGAGCAAUUGCUGGCUCAUAAGCUUUCAAGUAACUGUCUCGUGAGUAAUAAUGAUGAACAAGACUUUCUGGCUCUUGACCUAUUAAAGAAAUACAACAAAUCAUAUGGCAGCAUGGCAAUCCAGUCAACUCUCAUCUCCUGCAGGUACAGGUCUGCUGCUUUAAGUCCACCACAUGCUUGCCUCCAUACAUGUGUGUAACCUCAAAUUUAUCUUGAUCAGACCAUCUCGCAAUAUUUGCAACUGCUUCUGUUUUUUUCCUUCUCCAGUUUCUUUUGAAUUUUUGGGCUAAUCUUAUCACUCCUCUUCUUCAUCCACUCCUUUUUCAUACAAAGCCUUUCUAUUAGAUAGAUUCUGAUAGUCUCAAGCAUUCCAAGGGUUGGCUUUUCCCUUGCAUCCAUUAUAACCGAAUUAAAACUUUCACAUAAAUUAUUAAGGAGAAUGUCACACUUGGCAGCCACUCGAAAGUGUGAUCUUGACUAGUGAUAGGGAGAGGUGUUGUCAUUUAACCACUACCAAGCAGCUACAUCAUAAUCCCGUAAACACUCCAUCUAAUUUUCGAACAUCCUCAUGUACAAUGACCUUGCACAUUCCUUCAAUGCUUCACCCGGAUGAUAUUUUUUGAAGUUGUUGUGCAAGUACUUUACACAAUGUCUGUGCUCAACAUCAGGAAUGACUUCUUGAAUUGCAGAUCCUAAACCCUGCAAAAAAGACAAAUGCAGGUCUGAAAUAAUCAGUAAGAAUUCAUAUAUUUGCAAUAAACAUAUACAAACAAUGUAAUUCGAUUUUAUUCACCUUCUGUCUAUCACUUAUGAAGCUCCAAUUUCUUUGAUCGUUGAUGGAUAGGUCAUAUUUCAAGAAUUCAAUAAACCACUUCCAUGACCUCUUAUUUUCUGCUUCAACUACUGCAUAUGCAACUGGAUAAACACAGUCAUUUGGAUCUAUUCCAACUGCAGUUAAUAACACACCUGGAUGUGGACCUCUCAAGUGGCAACCAUCAACUCCAAUUAUCUUCCUACAACCAGAUUUAAAUCCUCUCUUCAGUGCCUCAAAGCAAAUGUAAAGUCUCUGAAAUCUUUGUUUUCCAGAAUCUUUAUCUAAUGUAGUCUCCAUUUACACUGUGGAACCAGGAUUUGCCUUCAUUAGUUCAUCACAAUAAUCCCACAAUCUGUUGUACUGAUCUUUGUAGCUCCCAUGGAUCAAAAUUUUUGCCUUCAUGAAUGUCUUAUAAACUUGAGGUUUAGUAAUGUUUACAUUCAGCUUUGCAUGUACCAUAUCCUUGGACUUUGCAACUAUUAUUCUCUUGUUCAUCCUUAGAAAGAACCAACCUUGUAUCAAAUAUUUCCGAUGAAAUAUUUAUUACAAAAAAUAAAUUGAAUUUCAAAAAGAAAAACAAAAAAUUAGUGAAAUGAAUAGCUUUAGUUUACCUGAAUCUUCAAUUGGCGUAUAAACAAAUAAAAAAGCCCUGAAUUGGCAUCUUUCUUUCUCCGCCAUUUUCACACACAGAAACACACACCCAAUACCGAUCUCUUCUGGAAAACAAAUAAUUUGUGGAAAACAAUAAUUUGUUCAAAGAAAACUCUAAAAAUCUUAGGAAAAAAUAUAAAAUUGGGCCCAAUUUGAAUGUUAUAAUUUGGGAAAAAUAUCAAAUAAAGUACAAAAAUUUUGAAAUGAUAGAGAGAUAGGGAGAGAGAUGGUGAAUAUCAGCUUUGAUAAGAGAAGUGAAGGGAGGAAAGGCAAGGGGAGAAUAGGAAGGUUUAUAUAAGGAGAUGGUAUUUUGAGAAUUAACGGUCGGGCAUUUCAAAAUAAGCAAAGGAAUCUCAUAGUCGGUGACUAAGUGUUGUUUUCUUUGUAAUUCAAAGUGCCCCCCUCUUAAAAUAUUUGUUUCUCUUUUUCUCCCCAAGAUUGUUUUACAAUUGGAUUCAUUUGUAGCCUAAGUUUUUCAGUUUUUUUCUAAUUUCACCCAAUUAACUUGACAACCCCAAAACUGAAUCUGAUUUUGUCACUAAGAUGCACAAAUUGCAAGAAAAGGAGAAAAAGGUACAGCCUUGAGGGAAAAAAAGUACACUUAAGGGUUUAUUUAUUCAUAAAUUAUAUUUUCUAUCUAUUCUCAUCUAGGAUAAUUUGUACAUUUUGUAAUUAAUCAAAAAUCUGGUCCACAUUGAAUAAACCAAGACAAGAUUAUGGAAUUUUUAAACUUCCAUUUUCUAUAAAUUAGAGAAUGUUAACUAUUACAUGGUCUAUAGUUAAUUCUUUGAAACUAGUUUAGCAUUGUGACAAAUCCAUGUUCAACAUUUCUUUCUUAAUCAGAUAAUAUAGAAAGAACUAAAUUAUUUCUUAAUUAGAUAAACAUGAAAACUAAGUUAUAAUAAGUUAUUAUUCACCAACACAUUCACAGAUGAAAGCAGAAAUAAAUGUAAUAAAUAAAGCUAAUUUGCAAAUAAAUUAUAAAUAUAUAUAUAAGAAGAUUUUGAUGAUGAAGAAAAUACAGAAAAAAGAAUUUGAUUUUUUCAAUUAUUACCCGAUUGUAAAGAAAAAUUAAUAAUAGAAUGGAAAAAGGAAUUAGAAAUAACAAAAUUUGAUUUUCCCUUCUUUAUGUGGCUAUCAUUCUAUAUUUCAAAAAUAGGAAUAAAUGAUGUAUAUAAUGCACCUAGGGGUGUGCAAAAUCGAAAAAUUCCGAUUUACCGACCGAAUUCGAAUUGAAUUCGGAAUUUUCGAAAUCGGUAAAUCGGAAUCGAAUUCGGGUUUUCCGAAUUCAUAUAUUUUGAAUUUGGUUCGAAUUCGGUAAUGGAGUUUUUCAAAUCGGAAUUCGAAUUCCGAUUUCGAAUUCAAAUUCAUUUUUAAUAUAUAAAUAUAUUUUUUAUACAUGUAAUAUAAAAUUUAUACUAUAUUAUAUUAUAUAAAAUUUAUAUAAUAUAAUAUAAUAUUAUAAAUUUUAUAUUAUAUAAUAAAUAUAAUAAAUUUUAUAUUAUAUAAUAAUAUAUAAAUUUUUCCGAAUUCGGUGAAAUCGGAAUUUACCGAAUUCCGAAUUGAAUUCAGUACGAAUUCGAAUUCGAAAUUGGUGAAUUCGAAAUCGAAUUCGGUCGAAUUAUCAGAUACCAAAAUUUCGAAAAAUUCCGAAUUCAAACUUCCGAAUUAUCGAUUUCGAAUUCGAUGCAUACCCCUAAAUACACCUCAUAUAAAAAUCUCUUUGGUGUGUAUAUAGUUGGUCUAUCUGCUUCUACUUGCAAUAUAGUGGUUUCAUCUUUUGAAGUUGGAGUCAUUAUAAAUUUUGGAUUUAAUUGUGAAGACAAUGGUCUAUAAUACAUACUAUAAAUUACAACAAAAGUUUUUGUAUGUCUUUCAAAUUUGUCUCCUUGUAAAUGAAUAUCUAAAACUAUAGAAUUCAAAACAUGUGGAUCAGUUAUAUCUACUGAGAAAUCAGGGGCGCGAUUGAAAUAAAUUGGUCCAUUACAUAUAUUUGUUUGAAUCAUAGCUAGUAAUGAAGUCUUAUAUCUUUUUAACCUCUUAUCUCUUAAUGCUAGAUAAAUUGGAGCAUCUACCCCUACAUGAACUAAUGGUUUGACUGCUACUUGAAUUAAUUCAAAGUGAAUAUAUCUAUAACCUUUACUGAAAUCUUUUUGAAUAGUAGUAUGAUUCAACAAUGGAAUUGUUUGAAAUUCUUCUUGUUAGAUAUGGUUUCUUCAUGUGUUUUAACAGAUAAAGUCCAGGGUAUGUUAAUACUUUAAAUAAGUAAAACGAACAAUAAUCAGAGUAGUAUAAAGUAAUAAAACUUACAGUAAUCAGAGUAGUCUUUGAAAAUCAGAAGCUUUACUGAAUUCAAACUUGUCGAAUCAUUGAUUGAAGUAAACUGAGUACAAGGAUUGAAAUUGGGAGUAUAGGGAAGGAAGAAAUAAGAAAGAGCACUCGAAGUUUUUUCUAGGCUGAAAUCUGCUUUCUAAAAAACCCGAUGCCUUCUUUGUGAUUUGCAAUCUAUUUAUAGAUGUUACAAAGUUGAAUUUCAUUUGCAUUUGAUUGCCGACACAUCAUUUGAAUUUCAUUUAAUUGCCGACAUUUCAUUUGAAUUUCAUUUGCAUUUGAUUGCCGACACCUUAUCUCUUUGAAAUGUGGCCGACAUCUUUAAAAGAUAUUUGGGUCUUGAACACAUUGCCCUCCAAAAGGAUCAAAAGUUGAAUCUGACAUGGAGCUUGAUGCCUCUUUUGUCUUUUGUUCUUGUCCUUUUGCUUGAUUUUGAAGAUAACUCAUGAAUUCUUUGAGCAUCUCUAGAUUCUGCAUCAUCUUUUUGAGUAGAAAUUCAUUAGCUGUUGCUUCUAUUGUUGAAGUUGAUGCUGAUUCCUUCUUUUGGGGAGUAGUUGGAGUACUGACUUUUAAGGCUUGAUGAACUAACCAUUUGAGUUUUUCUCCUAUCUCGAGAAAUUUUAGAAUAUUUUCUUGAUCACAUAGAUCUAGAUUGAAUCCUGCCUACCAUUUAAUCUUGAAUUCUCGAACUAGUGACAUUGGAAGUGGUUUUUCUAAUUCUUGUUGAAUCUAGAAACUCCAGCAAAAUAUCCAUGGAACUUUAAAUUCCAUAUGAAAUAGGAUUGGUCUUGAGUAUUCUUCUCCUUUGGCCUUUUUGAGAUAUGUUUGAAAUCCUAUUAAUGCUCUAGGAGGUAGAAUUUCUUUUUGGGAACCAAACCAAUCCCACCAAUGAUGAAACCAAAUUGAAAAUUCUCUGUUGCAACUUUCUUUGAAUGUAAAGAACCAUGAGUGAUUGAAUGGCCAAAAUAGAAAGGCACGAUACCAAGCCAUUUUGUAAUCUUGAUAUGUAAAUCCAUCUGGAAUGAAUCUUACUGAGAAAGACUUUUUUGAAUAUAAAGAAGUCCAUUCAUUUGGUGAACAAACCUUUCUAAUGAUACGUUUUGAAUGACUGAUUACUUCUGGUUUUUCUUUAUCUGGAAUGGGGUAAAUUUCAAUGGAUUGAGUAUCCGUAAGGAUCAAUUCAUAAUAAUCUAAUUUUUUUGCAGAAUCAUCUGGUUGCCAAAAGCAUUUUGAGGGAAACAAUCUUUGAGUGAGAUUUAUGAGUGCAUUAUAGGGAGGUAUUUCUUGGGAUCUAGUCAAAGUAAUAUGUUGAGUCAACGGUUUAGCGAAGUAGGUGUUUUCAUUAGGUUUAUAUUGGUUUAGAGGUUUUGAAGGAUUUUGAUUGGGUUUAGUGUUGGUAGGGUUUCUGGCUGCUUGAAUAUAACUUAAUGCUGGGAAAUCUUGAAGAGUUUGGAAUCUAUUUGGGGUUAUAGGAAUUUGAGUAAGACUCAUCUCAUAAUCUUUUGGAGUCUUUGGUUUAAAAUGUUUAAAAAUGUUCUAAUGAUUCAGAAAAUAUUAAUACGUCAUCUAUAUAUAUUAUGCUAAAUGAACUAUAUGAAUUAAAUAUAUCAUUCAUUAUAUUCUGGAAUUCUGAGGAGGCAUUUUUUAGUCCAAAGGCAUAACUCUCCAUUCAUAAUAUCCAAAAGGUGUUGUAAAUGUUGUUUUAUACCUGUCUUCUGGUGCUAUUAUUAUUUGCCAAUAUCUUGAUUUUAGAUCAAAUUUUGAGAAUAUCUUCGCAUUAAAUAAUCUACUUAAUAUAUCUUUUUUAUUGGGAAUUGGAUAUCUUAUCCAUUGUAAAACUUUAUUUAAUGGUUUAUAAUUAAUUACUAAUCUUGGAACUCCUCUUUCUUUUUUAGCUUGAUUCGUCACAUAAAAAGCUGCACAACUCCAGGGUGAUUUUGAUGGUGUUAUUAAUUCUUUAUCCAUUAGAGCUUGUAUUUCCUUUUUGCAAAAUUCUAAUAAUUCAGAACUCAUUUGUAUUGGUCUAGCCUUAGUUGGAAUAUCCUUUUCAUUAAAAUCUUUUUCAUAAGUUAGAUUAAUCAUAUAUUGUUUUCUAUUCCAGAAUGCAUUGGGUAUAUCUGUGCAUACUUCCUUUUUUAUUAAUUCUUCUAAUUUUGUAAUUCUAGUUUUCAUGUUUACUUCUUUUAAUUGUUCUUCUAUUCUUAAAUAAGAUUUUUCUUCUUUAAUAAAAUUUAUGCUUUGCUUAACAUGUUGAAUAGUAUUUAUUGGUUUAUACAUAGAGGAUGAUUGCAAUAUUUGUAAUUCUUUUUGUUUGAUUUGUGUUAAAAAUUUAAUUGUAAUGGUCUUACCCAUAAUAUUUGUAGAAACUCCAUCAUAAUUUAUAGUGAAGGGAUAUAUUUGAAUUAAAAAGGGUGUUCCUAAUAUCAUGUCAUUAUUUAUGUUUUUAACUAUUAAAAAAUUAUGUUUUAAACAAUAAUUAUUAUUGCAUAUUGAUUCUUUAGUAAAUUUGUAUUUUACUUGCAAUUUUUCUCCAUUUGCUGCCAGUAAUUCUUCCUUAGUUCUUUCACAAUAUUUAGUUGGAAUUAGUCCUUUUAUACAACUUGAAUCUGCUCCACUAUCGAAUAGGGUUACAUAUGUUUCUUUGAAUUCUUCUACCAUUACUUUUACUAAAGCACACCAUUUUUGAAAUGUCAUUUUUUCUAUUAUGUUUAAAUAUUAUUUUUCGUCUAUUGGCUUUUCAGAAAUUAUUAUUUCAUUUGUUUUUGAGGUAGACGGUUGAUCAAUAUUUUGUUUAUUAUUUAUCAAUAACAUUUUUGCUUCUAUUUCUAAAUCUUUGGUCUUUAAACUAAUUAUUUCUUGUUGUAAUUGUUUUACUUGUACCUUUAGACUAUUAAUUUCUGUUUGAAGGUCUUUAGUAGUUUCCUUUCUUAUAUUAUUUAUAUUAGGAUAUUUAUCUAUUAAUUUUGAAAUACUAAAUGAUUUGAUGAUUUUUGGCAUUUUAUCUUCUUGUAUUAUUAAACUUUUUAGUCUUUCUAAAUAUUCUUUCUUAGCUAUAGGAUCAUCUAUUUUAUCAAUUAUAUCUAAUAAAAAUUCUUUAUCUUCUUUUUUGGUAAUAAUAGUUAUGUAUUUUGGAUUAUUUAAACAAUUAUAUUCUUCUUGAUCUUCUGAACUACUUAUAUCAUUAUAAUAAUCAUCUUCUGUUUCUUGAUCUUUUUCAUUUAUUAAUAAACUAAUUAAUUUAUUUUUUAUAUCUUUUUCCUCUGCACAUAUUUCAUUUAUUUUCGCUUUUAGUCUAUAUUUAUCUGCUUUAUGUCCUAUUUUCCCACAUUUCCAGCAAACAAUUUUCUUUUUAUUAUAUUUUUUACUUUUCUUUUUCUCAUAAUAAGAUUCUUUAUUUGAUUUUUUAUAUUUUUUCUCCUUUUUAUUUUUCUUUCUAUAUGCUGAGGGGGAUUCUAUUUUCUUAAUUCCAAAAGCUUUGCAAAAUGAUUCUAUUUCUUUUGUUUUUUAACCAUACUUAAUUUGGAGUUUUAAUUCUGAACAUAAAAUUAGACCUUCUUUUUUAACAAAAGCAAAUAAUUGUCCAAAAGUAAUAUUUUCAAAUGAAAUAACUUCAGUUACCAUUUCUUUUUGUAAAUUAUCCAUUAUUUUUUGUGAAAAUAAACUUGGUAAUGCUGUUAUAAAUUUUUCUUUCCAAAAUGAAGCAUUGCAGUCUGGUCUUCUUAAUACAUUAGUCAAAAACAUAUCUUUAUACCAUCUAAAAUCUGACAACAUUGGACAUCUUAAAUUUAUUAAAAAGGUUUUGUUUGCAUUUAAUUCUUCCUUUGGAUUUCCUACAAAAUACAUUACUAUUGUUACAAUUAAAAAUUUUGCAGCAUCUGACUGUACUUGAAUAUUUCCCUGGUCAUCUUCUAUUUCUACUGUAUUACCUAAUAUUGAUAAUUAUCUUGAAGAGUUAAGGCAUUAUCCCACCAAUUUUUUAAUUAUCCUGUAAAACCAGAAACUAAUAAGGUUGCAAUGUUUCUUUCUUAAAUACUUUUUAGCUUAUAUGCUAAUCUAGCCAUUCCCAUUUCUUGCAAAGUAUUUAAUACUUCGUAUUCUGCUCUUCCAUCUAUAUUCCAUUCGUGUAUUGAAUCUCCAUCAUAUUUUGUAGUAUGAAAUUUCGAUCUUUCUUCAUAUUGUAUAUCAGGGAGGCUGGGUCUAGGAUAAUAAUUUCUUGUGCUUACUAGUUGCCAAUCUUUUCUAUUUUUAAAAUUUUUUAUUUGUUUUAUUCUAUUUAUUUGAUUACCUUCUUCUUCAUUAAACUGUUUUUCUAUAGAAGUAACUAUAUCUGUUUCUUCUUCUGAAUAACUUGAUUCUUCUUAUGUUUUUUUUUUAAUCAAAACUAAGAUUUUAUUUUGCAAAACAACAACGUACAUAAAGCGUCAGACAUCAUCUAGGUCCAGAACUAGCCAAAGGAGAGCUACUACCCUAUAGACUGCCAUCGCAGGGAAGUGAAUUCCCGAUUGUCUAAGGCUACUGAUGCUCGCACUAGAUUCGGGAGUUGUUGAAACGAAGUGUAGAAUAACUCUGAUGACAAUCGCAAUCCCGCGAGUUUAUCUGCUGAAGAGUUCGCCUCCCUGAAAACGUGUGUUACAGACGCCGAAAAUGAGAAAAGCAACGCUCUUAUGUGUCGCAACGUAUUGCAAAGGGACCACUGGGAUGUCGCUCCCGCAUUAAUUAGACUAACCAGGCUUUUAGAGUCUGCCUCCACCAGCAGGGGUCCACUAACUAGAUCCUUACACAGCUGAAGACCAUGUAGCAAAGAUGAACUCUCUACUCUCAAGACAUCCAUCUCCCCAAAUUCCUUGUAAAAAGCAAAGAUUAAGCGGCCUUCAGAGUCACGGAGUAAAGCACCCCCAAAAGCUCGCUUGUGAAAGACACUAGCGUCCGUAUUCAACAUGACACGGUGCGCCGGAGAGUGUUUCCAAGACACUGCAUAUGCGUGUUUCCUCCUCGCCAAUCGGGUAAUCAGCCAUGCCCAAGGGUCUCUCGCAUCUUCCCUAAAAUGGCCCGCAGAGAGUAUCUUUGCCGCUCCCAGCUAUUGCACAAAUCCGUUUACCGAAGCAAUAACCCUACAAGCCGCAAACGUUGCCCCCUCGAAGAGCGCCUUGUUCCUGGACUUCCAUAGGAACCACAGAAUUACUAGUGGGACCACAGUCCUUAUGUGGUCCCGUGUAACCAGUGAAGUUGAGCUAAACCAAGACAAAACCAUCCCAGACACCGAAGAGGAGUGGGAAUCAAUAAUUCCAAACCUCUGUCGAAAUGCGUUCCAUACCUCCAUUGCUAUUGGGCCUAUCACGAAGAGGUGAACAAGUGAUUCUUCCGACGAGUGGCAACAUAAGCAACGUGAUGCCAGGGGGACUCCCCAACACUUCAGGGUCGCAUCCAGGGGAACUAGAUUACACAUCACCUUCCAUGCAAAGAAAGACAGCUUCAACGGCACUAAGUUGGUCCAAGUGAAAUCGUCCACUAAUGAGGUGUUGCGUUUCAAUCGAAUGCUCUCCCAAGCGGCCUUGGUUGAGAACUCCCUCGAGGCGAGCCCACCCAAACCAUACGAUCGUGUUGUUCUGGGAACAGUUGAAUUUUCUAAAUUUGACUAACUAGAUGAGCAAGUACCUAGCGCCUCAGCUUCUCUACAUUACAGCCCCUGUCAUCAAAGAACUCCACGAGCAGCAUGUGGGGUGGGUCGUUAAUGGAGAGCAAGUCCACCAGAGGGGCCUCAAAGACUUUGCCCACACACCAUCUGAUGUUACUCUUUGCUGCCCUUCGAAUUCCCUCUAACCGCCUCCAUGAUGGGAAAGGUCUGGCUACCUGAGCUUGGAGCGGGUGUGUACCCCUAACAUAUUUGGCGUGCAUAAAAGCAGCCCAUAAUGAAUCGUUUUUCCGCAACCGCCACUAGAGCUUGCAAGCAAAGGUUGAGCACAUGUCCUCAUAGGAGCGAAAACCCAACCCGCCUUCAGCCAUUGGAUAGCAAACCUUUUCCCAAGACGUCCAAUGAAUGCCUUUGGAGUCAGCAUUUUUAUCCCAUAAAAAAGCAUUACAUACCUUUCCCAACUUUAGCAAAACUGCCCGGAGAGGAUCCAACACUUGCAGCAAGUACAUAGGCAUUGAGGUAAGAACAUGCCUCAAUAACACUAAUUUACCUCCUGACGAUAGUAACCGCGAGCUUCAGUGGAACAGGCGGCCUUGCAUUAUAGCCACCAGGGAAUCAAAUAGAAUGCACGUCGUUCUUCCUUUGAAAAUAGGGGCCCCCAAAUACAUGAACAAAAGGUACUACUGAUGGAACUGCAACAUCGAGGCCACCCUUGCCCCAUGUUCAGCGGACGCUCGAGCCGACAAGAUGAAACAGCUUUUAUGGGUAUUAAUUUUCUAACCCCAAAAAGCCUGGUAGGAGUCGAAGAACAACUUCAAAGAGUCCAACCCACCCUUGGAGCAGCGAGUGAAGAUCAAGAUGUCAUCCGCAAAUGCCAAGUAAGGGAUACGCAGCCCAGAGAAGACAAAGAAACAACUCUCAUCUUGACAAAACAAAUAAUGCAGUCCCCGGCCCAAGAAUUCUGCCACAUGUAGAAAUAAAGCCGGGGAGAGCGGGUCGCCUUGGCGAACCCCUCUUGAGGAUUUAAAGAAUCCCACUGGAGAGCCAUUGAUUAACACCGAGAACCAAUUGCUUGACAAUGUUCAAAAGAGCAGAUCCACCACCUCCUCGUGAAACCCAAAUUUUCGGAGCAUAAAGAUAAGAAAGCUCCAUUCAACCCUGUCAUACGCCUUCUCCAUAUCCAGCUGCAGUAUCAAGUUUAGGCAUCGUAACUUUCUAUCAAUAUCCAUUGCCAGUUCCUGUGCUACGAGGAUGUUGUCUGUAAUACUCCUGCCCGCAACAAAACCUGCCUGCCAUGGCGAGAUCAGUUUAGGAAGCAGAUGAUUGAGUCGGUUCGUUAGAACUUUGGAAAUAAUUUUGGAGCUUAGGUUACACAAGCUGAUAGGUCUAAACUCUUGCCAUUUAGUCACCCCCGGUACCUUUGAGAUUAGCACAAUCAGUGCACUGGAAAAGCCUCUUGGUUGAGGAGCCCCUUUGAAGAAGUCGUGAACCGCUUCCAGUAGCUCAUUUUGAAUAACCGGCCAACAGGCUUGGUAGAAGCCUGCCCCAAAGCCGUCCGGUCCUGGUGCACUAUCUUUUGACAUCGAGAACACUACCUCUUUCACUUCCUGUAGCAUUGGCAACUGUUGGAGCUUCAUAUUGUCCUCACAAGUCAGGGAGGGGAGCGAGAAUUCCAAGCUUGGAGCAGCCAAGCCCUCCCGUUCCGUCCAGAACAACUUCGCAUAGAACUGCUCUGCCGAAGCUUUGAUCUCCUCCUCGUCCUCUAGCCAACAGCCCACAUCAUCCUUGAUCCUUGAUAUAAAAUUAACACUUCGCCGCUACAUAAUGAACGAGUGAAAGAAUUUUGUAUUAGCAUCGCCCUGCUGAAUCCAUUUAAGUGCCAAUUUUUGCUUCCAGUACUCAUACUCUACGCCUAAUGCCUGUGCAUACCUUGCCCGAGCCUCCCCUAGGUUCAUCCUAGAUAAGUCAUCACGAGCCGCGUCAAACUCCUCCUGCCGCUGUCAUAAGUUUUCCUCAGCGUCUUGGCCGAGCCUCCUGCCCUAGGUUCUUAUGUUGAUUCUUCAUUUAUAAUUACUUCAUCUAAAGUAUUUAUUCUAGGAGUACUUAUUGUUAGUGAUUGUAAAGUUUGAGAUAUUCUACCUAAAAUUGUAUCUGUUGAAUUAACAUUUUGUACUAAUUCUUGUUCUCUUUCUCUUGGAAGGCUUCUUGGUUGAAAAUAAGGAGCUGAAAUAUCGUUUGGGAAUCUAGAAGUUGGUCUUUGUAUACUAUCAAUUUUUGUAGUUACUAUUUAUAUAUGUUGUGAUAUUGUAUGAAGUAUUUGAUUUGCAUAGUUAUUCUGUUGAUAUAAUUUUUUAAUAUCUUCUAUACUUACAUUAUUAUUAGUACUUGUUUCAGCUUCUCUUUCUUUUUUAAAAGGUGAUGCUGUUAUUUCUCCUUGUCCUAUGUUUAUUUUAAUUUCUUGUAACGGAGGAUGUAUUGAUGUAACUAUUUGAUCAUCUUUUAAUUUCCAUUUUUAUAUAAAUUUGUUUGUACAUUUAUUUGAGGUGUAUUAUAUACAUCAUUUAUUCCUAUUUUUGAAAUAUAGAAUGAUAGCCAAGUAAAGAAGGGAAAAUCAAAUUUUCUUAUUUCUAAUUCCUUUUCCAUUCUAUUAUUAAUUUUUCUUUACAAUCGGGUAAUAAUUGAAAAAGGAAAAAUCGUUUAAAACGUCCCUCACAUUUUGUAAAAUAACUUUUUUCAUCCCUCACUUUUAAAAAUGCACUUUUACAUCCCUUACAAAUUCACAUUAAUCAAAUUUGGUUCUUAUCUAGAUUUCUGACUAGUUUUUUGUCGGAAUCCACCACGUGCCUUGCACGUGACUAUUUUUGAAGGGCAAAAUUGUCACAUCAAAAUUUACAUCAUCCAAUCCAUAGUCUCUCACAUUUCACAAAUUGAAUUUUUUUGUCCCUCAUAUUUCACAAAAUUAAUUGUUUCGUCCCUCAUAUUUCACAAAAUGAAUUUUUUCAUCCCUCAUAUUUUACAAAAUAAAUUUUUUCAUCCCUCAUUAUUCAUGUGUACGAAUAAUUUUUUUUAAACUUAUGUAUAUAUCCAUUUGAUCUCACAUAAAUAAUACGAAUAGCAUAUAAUAUAUUUCUAUUUGAUUUCUCUUGAACGUACUGUUCAUGUGAAAUUAAAAAAGAUAUGUACAGGGGUUUAAAAAAAUUAUUAGUUUUUCACUCAUGUUCAUUUCUUUUACUUGAAAAUUGAAAAAAAAAAAGAAGACAUUUAAUUCUAAACAUUAUCAAGUGUUUAUAUCGAAUUAAAUUUAGACAGAAAAAAAUAAAUAAAGGAAAAGUAUGACAAAAAGAAGUAAGUAAUUGACACUUUCAAAUUUUAAAAUAAUUAUAAAGCAAGAAAUUCAAGUGUUGGUUUUAAAAGUAGAGAAUAAAAUUUUCAAAUUUAAACUGCAAUUUGUAGCAUAACUAUAGAAUUCGAAUUAACACCUAUUAAUUAGAUACUCUUAUUAAACAACUCAAUAAAUGAAUUAUUACUAAAAUAGAAAAGACUACAGAUAUUGAAUAGAUUCACAUGGUGAAGUCACACAUAUAUAUAGGUUUAAAACAAAAUUAUUAGAUUUAAACCCAUGUAUAUGUCGAUCUGUUUAUGUGAAAUCAAAUAGAGAUAUAUUACAUAUUUUUUGUACUAUUUAGAUGAAAUCAAAUAGAUAUAUACAUGAAUUAAAAAAAACAUUCGUACACGUGGUCAAUGAGAGAUAAAAAAUUUAUUUUGUGGAAUGUGAGGAAUGAAAAAAUUUAUUUUGUGAAAUGUAAGAGAUGAAACAAUUCAUUUUGUGAAAUGUAAAGGACUAUAGAUGGAUUAUGUAAAUUUUGAUUUGAUAAUUUUGCCCCUAAUAAAUAAUCACAUGCAAGGCAUGUGAUGUUUUUCAGCCAAAAACUAGUCGGAAAUCUAGAUAGGGACAAAAUUUAACCAAUGUAAAUUUGAAAGGGACAUAAAAGUACACUUUUAAAAGUAAGGGACGAAAAAAAUCAUUUUACAAAAUAUGAGGGACGUUUGGAAUGAUUUUUCCAUUGAAAAAACCAAAUUCUUUUUUCUGUAUUUUCUUUAUCAUCAAAAUCUUCCUGUAGAUAUUUAUAAUUUAUUUGAAAAUUAGCUUUAUUUAUUACAUUUAUUUCUGCUUUCAUCUGUGAAUGUGUUGGUGAAUAUUCUGAUUGAUUUUCAUUUAUUACCUCUGGAACUGGGGUUUUAAACUUGAAGGUUGAAUUUGUUUCUAUGGGAGAACUAAAGCCAAUAGACUCAUAACUAGAUCUUUUGGCUGGUAACUAGGAAUUGCUUGAGGUUAACUAUCUUUUUCUGAAAGAGGGAAAUUUUAAUAAAAUUUUUGCAUCUAGUUCUUCUAUCAUUUCUUCUACUUCUGUUCUUUCUAAAUUUCUGGGACUUGUGGAUUUUGUAUUUGAAAUUCACUAGGUACUGUGAUUUCGUUCCAUUUUAAUCUCUUUGGUGUGUAUAUAGUUGGUCUAUCUACUUCUACUUGCAAUAUAGUGGUUUCAUCUUUUAAAGUUGGAGCCAUUAUAAAUUUUGGAUUUAAUUGUGAAGACAAUGGUCUAUAACACAUUCUAUAAAUUACAGCAAAAUUUUUUGUAUGUCUUUCAAAUUCAUCUCCUUGUAAAUGAAUAUCUAAAACUAUAGAAUUCAAAACAUGUGGAUCAAUUAUAUCUACUGAGAAAUCAGCGGUGCAAGUGAAAUAAAUUGGUCCAUUACAUAUAUUUGUUUGAAUCAUAACUAGUAAUGAAGUCUUAUAUCUUUUUAACCUCUUAUCUCUUAAUGCUAGAUAAAUUGGAGCAUCUACCCCUAAAUGAACUAAUGGUUUGACUGCUACUUGAAUUAAUCCAAAGUGAAUAUAUCUAUAACCUUUACUUAAAUAUUUUUGAAUAGUAGUAUGAUUCAACAAUGGAAUUGUUUGAAAUUCUUCUUGUAUAGAUAUGGUUUCUUCAUGUGUUUUAACAAAUAAAGCUGUUUUGAAAUCUAGAGUUCCUAUCCCAUAAAUAUGUUCUAUUUUUUCUUCAGAAAUAGUCCAAUCUGAAUUAUUUAUAGGCAUAUGAUAUUCAUGACUCUGUACUAUGUGUGAUUGUUUUGAACUAGAUCCUGUCUUUAAUUGUCUAAAGAAUGAAGCCAUGUUUAAUAUCUUAUUUAUCCUAAUGGGAACAAUCGAGCCUAUGCGUGGAACAUCCUAUCCUGGACUUGCCAACCGUCUUACUAAGCUUCAAAAUCUUACCAACACUAAGAUAGACUUAUGAUAUUAAACAUGAAUGUAUUAUUUAAAAAUUAAAUAGUAGGAAACAGUUCAAAAUAACAGCAAGGUACUUAAGGGCUUAUUUAUUCAUAAAUUAUAUUUUCUAUCUAUUCUCAUCUAGGAUAAUUUGUACAUUUUGUAAUUAAUCAAAAAUCUGGUCCACAUUGAAUAAACCAAGACAAGAUUAUGGAAUUUUUAAACUUCCAUUUUCUAUAAAUUGGAGAAUGUUAACUAUUACAUGGUCUAUAGUUAAUUCUUCGAAACUAGUUUAGUAUUGUGACAAAUCCAUGUUGAACAUUUAGCUGAUUUGAGCCCUAUGUAAAAAAGAAAACCUAUUUUGGUUUGUAUUAUUUAUUUUGUUCAUCUUACAAAAGAAAGUUUUCUUUUUGAAUUAUUGGUAAAAAGAGAAUUCCUAAUGAAAGGCUUUUAUGAGGUCUAAUAUUUGUAAUUAACAUUUAAAUUGAAAGGGAUUUCAUUGUUCUAACUAUAUGGGAAAGACAUCUAUAGUUCAAGUAUUUAAAACCAAUCAUUUGAUCUGUUUAUUGAUGAACUAAUUUUUUACUGAAAAAGAAACUAAUUUUUUUCAAAAGGGAAUGAUAUGUUAUCUUUAAAAUUGAAUCAAUAAAAUAGUAGCUUACUAAAAACUGAAAAAAAAUAGAAAAAAAAAACAAUUCAUGUUUUUUUCAAACAUUUUCUAUUACACAUAUUCGUAAAGUGUAUUUUGAUCGAUACCUUUAUUUGGUAUUCUUUCUUAUUUAAUUCUAUAUCUUGUUCCAUAAAAGAGUAGUUUUGACAUUAAGAUUACUAUUGGUACGCUAGGAACAAAUGUUUUUGCUUUUGUGUGGGGCAACGGCUAUAAUUCAAAGGGUGUGUCAUUACGUUCAUGCAAUUUAGAAAAAAAAAUCCUUAUUGAAAAGAAAAUCAAAGAGAAGUUAUAGGAGUUUUUUAUAGAUUAAAACAACAUAACAAAAUAUUACUUCCAUAGUGAGGGCUUUUUGGCACACAAAAAACAUAGGGUCAUCUACAUGAAUUUUUUAGGGGUAUUUUUAUUGAACUUAAACUACAUAUGGGUGUUUUAAUAAGACCUUUGAUGUGGUAUUUUUAGAGUUUGUAAUGUGUUUUUUAAGGGUAUUUUUGAAGAUAGCAGAAAUAAUUACUCUGUGCUGCUGCAACCACCAAUAUGUAUCCCUCAAUAAAGAUAACGGUCUAUAUCUUAAAAAGUUUAAACUGUUACAAUCAAAUGGUCAGAACUACUUAUUUCACACCAUUCAAUGAUGGAUUUAAUAUGAUAUGCAAAAGACUCUACAGUUUAGCCAUGCCUAAAAUACAUAACUUGUAUGGUCGUUACGACAAACUCGAAAUUGGUAUUGGAAUUUCUACAAUUACUUAAAUGCACUUCUAUUAAAUACUUUUAUCAUAUGAAAACACAAAUUAGAAAUCCAUACCAUUUUGUUUUCGUGAUGCUUAACAAUAUUAAAGAAACUAUUUAGGUGUUUGAAAGGUUGGUCUAUAGAGCUUGAAAAUAUCAAUACGCCAUUGAUAUAAACAAUUAUGAAUGUGCUAUAAGGGUUGAAUAUAUCAUUCAUAAUAUUUUGAAAUUUCGAUGGAACAUUUUUUAGACCAAACAGCAUUACUUUCAACUCAUAAUGCCUAAAGGGUGAUGUAAAUGUUGUUUUGUAUCUAUCUUCUUCUGCUAUGAUGAUUUGCCAAAAUCCAAAUUUCAUGUCAAAUUUUAAAAAUAUUUUUGCAUUAUAUAAUCUAUUAAGAAGAUCUGUUUUAUUUGGAAUAGGAUACCUUAUCCAUUGCAAUAUCUUAUUAAGUAGUUUAUAAUUAUUACUAAUCUUGGAAGACCUUUUUUUUCAGCUUGAUUCAUAGCAUAAAAGGUAGCACAACUCCAUGGAGAUUUUGAUGGUCUUAUUAAUUUCUUUUCUAAUAAAGUUUGAAUAUCUUCAUUAUAGAAUUCUAGAAAUUCAUGAUUCAUUUGUAUUGAUCAGGCUUUUGUUGGAAUAUUUUUCUCUGAGAAAUCUUUUUCAUAUGGCAGGUUAACCAUAUACCUAUUUCUCUCCCAAAAUGCAUUUGGUAAAUCUUAACAUACUUCACUUUUAAUAAGAUUUUCUAAAUCUAUUUUUUUAAAAAAGAACUAUUUUUAAGCUGUUUCUCAAUUUGUAAAUAGGAUUUUUCUUCCUUUAAGAAACUAAUUUGUUUUAUAGAUUAAUUUGCUUAUAGAUCGAAGAAGAUUGUAAUAAAGAAAGUUCCUUUUGUUUUACUGGUGGUAAGAAAUUUGAAAGAAAAUUGUUCUACCUAUUAUAUUAGUAUUAAUUCCUUCUGAAUCUACUGAGAAAGGAUAUAUUUGAAUUAAAAAUGGAGUUCCUAAUAUAAUAUCUUGAUAAAUAUUACUAACUACUAUGAAUGAAUGUCUAAAACAGUAUUCAUCAUUACAAAUUACAACUUUUGACAGCUUAUAAUUAAUUUGGAGAGGUUCUCCAUUUGCGGCUAAUAAUUGUUCAUUAGUCCUCUGAAAAUAUUUUGUAGGGACUAUUCCUUCUUUUAUACAACUUUGAUCAACUCGACUACCUAAUAAUGCCAUGAUUAAAUUGUUCUGCUAUUAUAGUUACUAUAACAUACCAUUUUUGAAAAUCUAUUUCUCUAAUAUUUAUAAAUAUUGCUGAUUUGAUUGUUCUUUAUAGAAGAGAAAAGAGCUGAAAGUUGAAACCUGGAAGAUGAAAGGUUUUUUCUCACCUUUUGCUUAGGGUUGUGGAACCAAAUCAGGAUCUCCUCAAACCUGAUGAAGAUGACCUGCUGACAAUAGGAAGGCCAAUGCUGAGAAGGAAGACGAAAGGUAAGAAACAGACCAUAACGGCUAGCAAAUGGAGGCAACAGAAUAAGGAAUUAGAGUAAGACGCUCUUUAAGUUUUAGUCUGUAAAUGUCCUCGAAUGUUACAAAACUGUCAACAUACCUAGAAAUGUUUCAUAGUCGAUAAAUGUUGUCCAUAAAUUUAACUUUAAACUUGUAAGUAUGCACUGAAUUAUAUAUUAUUUUGAUUAUCUAUUAUUAAUAAGUAUUUAUGACAUCAUUCGAUUGAAUCCAGCAAACCAUUGAUCCUUGACUCCUGAGCUCGACCAAAUCGCAACUAGGUCCAAAUUCAAAAUAUAGCGUACAACAACGUCCAGUUUAUCCCAUUCCCAUGCAACUUCAAUAAUUUCGAGUAUUUGCUGUAUGGAAAAUAUUAACUGGCAUCACAAUCUGUAACUUGGGAACUUAUGUGGUCAUUGGUAUUUUGUUAGGCAAAUUAUGAAGUAAAACAAUUUGACAUGUGUUUGUAUAGGUGUAGUUCUAUGACCAUUCAAAAACAGAAUUACAAAAACAAAAAAGAAAAUCAACAGAGCAUGGAUUACUUUUCCAUUUUUUCUUAUCUUUUUAAAACAUGAUUUUAAUAUAUAAAACAAUAGAUUCUUGAAUGAAAUUCCCAUAAUGUACUGUCCUCAAAUCCAGUUUGAAGAGGCAAGCAUGCAAUACGGGUAUGAGCAAAUUAGUAAUGGAUUGAAAGGUAACUGCUAGACUGGUAGCUGUGAGAAUGGUUGUUGAAAAGUGAAAAUGUCAGAUAAAGCACUAACUAAUUUAAGCUGAGCCCCUCUAGGCUAAGCAAACUGAGGCUACAAAUACCACGAUACUCGAAAGUAAACCUCAAAUACUUAUCUAUGUUGUUGUAGAAAAGGCCACUGUGAAAGAAUGCGACCACCACCUCCAGGGCCAGGCUUUCUUGGUGGUUUGUGCAAUUGCAUAGCAUCUUGGUUAGUGGUGACUACACUGCAUUCAGACGUGGGAAAUGAGAAUAUUUGUUACAACACUUCUUGGUGAUGUCAAAGUUAAUGCAUUACAUUCAUUCUUGUAUGGCUGAACAUUUACAUUUACUCUUAAAUCUCAAUGGUCUUGAAUCUUGAAUGUGCUUCUAAUCUCAUUGGAGUAAAGGAUUCAUUGGUCAGUUUGCUAUUAUCAAUAUCUUCUUAAUUUUUAUCGGUUGGGUUCCAAAAUUUCAUAUAUUACCACCUAAUAUGUGUCUCGUGUACAUCUUGCAACUUGAAAUUGCAGUUUAAGUAUCUUGUGCUGCUGCUGGUAGCUGCAAGACUGCUUUGGUGGUCCAAUGCGGCCGCCUGGACCAAUCGGACCACCGCCUCGGCCUUGAUUAUAAGCUGCUUCUUCAACCUUGCUGAUGCCUCCUGCGUUUACAUGAUUUAUGACCUACCAGGAAUACCUAAUCAUGUUGUUCUACUGUUUUGAGUGAUAAUGGGGCAACAAUCUUACUUUUGUGUUAUUAUUAUUAUUAUUACUACUACUUAGUAAAAUUUUAUAUAAAUACUCAAAAAACGACUAAUUUUCUUUUAUCAUACCCAUCUAAAUGAGAGGGGGUGGCAGGGGGGAGUGGGUGGGACUAUCUGAAUGACGGUACAACAGUACUGACAGACUUGAGACUUCAAUUCACUUGUCCCAAAGUACCAUAAUGUAGACAAACUAAAACUACAUGAUUUUUCAAGAUUUGCUUAGCAAAUACUACUAAAUUAAAGCAUCUGCCAAAAAUGUGAACUUAAAAUAAAGCAUGUCUUUAUUGUAUCUUUGAUUUUUCCAUGAGAAGGGAAUGGUAAACAUCAAACAGGCAUGACAUAUUUCAGUCAAUCAGAGAUCAAGAAGGCAAGGUCAAGAUUAGAAUCUACUGGAUAGUAUUAUAAUAAUAAUAAUAAUAAUCAGCUGUACUGAUUUGCAAACUGAGCAACUAGGAAACUCGUUUGAAAAUGCUUGCACUAUGAGUCGAUUUCCAUUCCGUCAGAUCUUCCUUCUAAACGCAAAAGACAAUUUUAAACUGCAGACACCUUGAGGCAAAAAAGGCGAGUAUGAACUAAAUUCACUGCAUAAUUGUUCAAAAGGGAUGAAGGGGUACAAAUUCCCCAAUCACUUAACAACAGACAACAAAACAAAUUAUUAGCAAUGAACUGCCUUUCAUCAAUGAAUUUACAUUGUUAGUUUUAUAUUCUUUACUACAAUGCAAAACCCAAAAUUUACACUUCCAUUCAGCAUAAUCCUUCAAAGUUCAUACUCGCUCCAUAAUCCUUCAGUUCAUGGACAAAAAAUGGGAAAUUGCUCGUGAGCAAUUUGUCUGACCACAGACAGAAUGUUAAAAUUGCAGAUGGAAGCAGUUGCCAGAAGUCAGAUCGUGCACGACCGGCAGACAGGUUAUAAGACCUCCAUGAAGUUCUAGAACAUAUACACAGCCUCCAAGCAAUCAAGGCACGAGGAAAAGGGGUUGAUGAUCUCAAGCACUUGAUGAUGAUACUCGAAGAGACAGAUCUUGAAAAUCGGUGACCUGAUUUAAACAUUUUAUCAAUCCUCUUCUUCAGAUGCUUCGUUCAACCACUGCCAAAUUGUACAGAUGUUUAAGAGAUUAGCAUCUGGCAAGCACAACUACAGGGAAAGGAUCACAAAGCACUUGCGGUCAUUCAACUCCACUAAGAACAAACUAAAUUUGGGAGCUUUGGAAGCAACAUAUAAGAAGAGAAGAAAAGAAAGAAAGGCAGGCAUGUCGAUCUACUUUUAUCGGGAGAUUAGGACGGUAUAUAAAACAAUUUGCUUUCCUCGUCUUAGGAAAGAUGCAAAGGGUGGGGGAAGGAAGGCAAGUUCAAGUACCUUUUCAAAUAUUGUGUCCUUGUGAUGAGAAAUUUCUUAGAUAAGAGAAAACUUAUUUUAAUGGAAAUCACAAGAAGUUAAAUAUCUUACUUAACUCUUUUCCCAUAAGUAGAAAGAAAACUAAACAAGUCAUGGUAGCAGAUUGGUCAUUAAGCAGGCUCUGAUAGCGAUAGCUUACUUACCAUGCAAAGCUUCUUGAGAUUGUUAAUUACUUUGCUAGGGAGCAAAAAUGCUCAACAUAUCUUCUACCCUCCCUCCCCACAAGUCCCCAUCCCCAUACAUAUUUUCCAAACUACAUGAAAACCCUUUAGGUCUUCUAUCACAUUGAAUAAAAUUCCCCCAUCAACAAUAAUCGAAAUCAUUCGGAAUAAUUACUCCCUUCAAAGCUCAAGGAAGGCAAAGGCGUGACAAGGAAAAAGUAUAAGAAGAACAUUUAGUUUAGAGCAUGCUGACACAGAAGGUAGUUACAAUUUUGGAAAAUCCACCAAAACUAUGCGAACAAGGCAGAUCUGACGAGAUCCAUACUUUAACGCUAAACAAAAUGGUCUGCUCAAACACAAUUAUUUACCUGGAUGAAUUUUUCUGCCUGCUUGACAAAUAGCUUAUCAGUCUCAUCAGCACCUUCCUUCUCAGAUGCCCAGUUGAGUAUUGCUUCCUCUUGUAUGAUAUCUUUGUCAUAAAGAAGAUGCAGAAUCUAUGGGAAAAAAGUUGGUGCCUCGUUAUUAUAUAGCAAAAAAGUAAAAAGUCAUUCACUUCAUGCAGCAUAUAUUAGAAACAAAUCUCAUAUAUUAGAAACAAAUCUAACGAUGUAUAAUUCCUCACAUCAAAAUGGAAAAGAUGUGGAAAGUUUGGAUCCUAACUGGUCUUACAUGAAGGCUACUACAUAGAACUACUUACAAUCAAAGAAGCCUUGCAAUUAAACCAGUCAAAACUGAGUUUCCUACAUCCGUUGCAUAUCAGUAGAUUAGCAUGCAGGGAACACCUCCUCCAAUUAAGAGGUUGCACCAAAUUUGAGAGCCACAACAAUACUCAACUUUCCAUUCUAAAUAUCAAUAAGCAGGGACUCUUAAAUAUUUCCAAAAAACAAGAGCAUCAAUGUCCCACGCCAGAGAACUAGUGAAUAUGUCACAUCAAAUGAGAAUGAGCAUAGGCUAGAACAAAAACGUGGACGUGUAACUAAAGAAAACUAGUAGGAAACAAGAACAAAUGUAACACACAGCUAUCUUGCUCUUCUAGAACCCAGGAACAAGUCCAAAGUAAGACACAUUUGCUGCUAUUGAUAUGCAAAGAGGCAAUUACAUGAAAUUGUGAAUUACAAACUUUGGUUUGAAAGUAUGCCAUUGGUACCUAGCAUUCAAUGUGAGGCUACUUGUUCUAAUAAAAAGAUAAAAAGCUAGCAAGGAAAUUUCUAAUAUAUAUAUGUAUAUAUAUAUAUAUAGCAAGUAUAUACAUAUAUAAAUAUGUAAAUGUGUGUGUGUGUAAAAGUACUAUAUUUAGAAGAAAAUUUUCUCUUUCAUACGUGGCACCUCCAAUCGCUCAGCAUUUACGGAUUUUGUAUGGAUCAUCUGGAAUUUGGGUAAAACCUGUUUCUGUUGAUCAAACGGAUAAAAUUCAGUCCUAAUCACAUUGGUCUCUUAAUUUUCAACAUAAAUCCAAAAGAAGAGCGGUUUGAGAUAGUUUUAGCCAUAUUGAAAAAAGUUAUCUUCUAAAAAUAGGAUUAUAUAAUCUGCAUUUUAAUUCAAAUCUAUCAUGGGUUAUUGUUAUCCCCUAAUCUCAAAUUUUUCAUGGGGUUGCCUAAUUUUAAGGAUUCCAAAAUUCACGGUGUAUAAACAUGAGGUUGAGGAUGGGUAAUCAGAAUAUAAGUUAUCACACAACAGGAUUUUUGAGACUUCGAUGAAGAUGAAAGAGGGAAGGCUCUGGGAACGUUCAAGAACUCCAACCCGAUGGUCUCAGAAUGCUGAAUGAAUUUUGGAUUUUCAUCUAAUGAGUUCAAUAGUGCUCUUUUUGCAAAAUUUUGUUUCAUCUCCUAGCAAAAUAUGCUCUACAAAUGAGUUUUGCUUGCCAAAUUUAUCCAUGUUUCUAUUAACUAAUUAAUUUGUUUUUGUUGCUGACAACGAAAAAAAAAAAGGAGAAAUAGCGCUAUGAAGGAUAGCCAUAGAAAGAAAAGUUGUGGCAAGAGUGGUCAAAGGAUGACUUGAAAAUUACAGGGCAAAAGUUUAAUCGUUAUUUUACUUCUCUAUUCAUAUUAUUGGACAAAUUUUCGUUUUUUUAUCUCUCCAAGCUUUAUUUGUGUGUGUGUGUUGUGUUUUUCUUUUUGUUAAUGUAUGGGCUUGAAAGAAAACAGAUCCAAAAAUAAAAGUCCUAGCUUUUCAAAAAUAGUUUAGUUCAUAUGUUAUUUCACCAUUUUCCUAUUACCUUUCUCAUGGAAAUAAACAAUAAAAUUUCCAUGCAUGUGCACGGGUUCUGGCAAUGUUAUAGUCUGAAGAAUAUUCUAAAAAAAGUUUGGAAGAAUCACUUGAUAAGGCAUAGAAUUAUCUCUAACAUAACCAUGACUACUUCGUAAAUUAAUUUUUACACCAUAGUAUGAAGUUGAAGACUUCACAUAAGAAGCAUUGAAGCAUAAAAAGUUGAUAAAAACUUUUUUAAGAAUUGAUAAGGCAUAAAAACUUGAUAAGGCAAAAAAAGUUGGCCCUUGAUAAGAAGCAUUGAAAACUUCACAUAAUGUUUGAAGCAAUUAAGUAUUUACACUAUUGUAUGGCUGCACAUGAUGUGACAGCUAGAAGUCAUCUAACCAUAUGAUAAAUUAUCUCAUGACUAUUAACUUUAAUUUUCAACUAUUACUUGGCUAAGUUACACUACUUAUCCUUCAACUAGCAAAUGCAGUAUGACCUGAUUGUCCACACAAACAUGAAGGCUCAUGGACACAGAUGUAAAAAUUCAUCCUUACCUACUCUUCUUCUAUAUCAUAAAUUACUAAAGAAUCUAUGUCGGUUGGAAACAAGAAUGCGAUUGUACAAACUGGAAUGUCUACAAAAUGAGAUCUAUCACUCCGUAAAAGACGUGUGCUUGUUUGUAUGUGUGCAAAAAGAGUUGGAGAUGCAAAGAUACAAUUUCAAGUCAUAGAUCACAUUAGAGAAUAAGAGUAAUCAGCAUUUGCAGCAAAGAAGAAGACAUCAUUAACUCUGAAGACUGGGAUUCUCAGUACACUUAAUAAACUUCAUUAUCAGCAUCCGAGGAGACCAAUAUUCUAAAUAGCUUCUAUGAAAAACUUUCUGAUUUCACAUCAAUUUGCAGUUUGAUGAAACUAUUAAGAAAACUUUUGGAAUUAAAAAUUUAAUGGAGAUUAACAUACCUGUACAAACACUGUUGAAUACUCCUUUGCAGAUUCCAAGCACAUUUCUUCAAAUUUCAGUAUCACUUCGAUCUGAAGUAUAACAAAACUUUAGUUAAUAAUCAAAAACAGAAACAUACACUUAACCUAUACCCACUUAAAUUUCCAGGUGAAUAUCACUGCAAUAAGGUGAUUAAAGAACCUGUCAAUCAAUACAUCAAAUGCCACAGACACCACUAAGAUCUCUCAUAAAGAGAGUCAUGACAAUGCGUUUUACUAUCUACAGGAACCUGUACUUCUCACAAGUGCAGCAUUUUGUCAUAGAAAAAAAUAUCAUGCAAUUACUUCUUGCAAUACAUCCCCAAAAAUGUACUACUUGAUUUGUUAAAGACACACAUCUUAGGGGAAGCAAGAUAUUAGGCCUAAGGCUACCAUGGCCACAGCUUUGAAGAACAUUAAGACAAUAAUUUUGUAAAAGGGAUGCUUGGAAUUGGACCUAAGAUGAGCCUAAAGUAGUUGAGACUUUCUCUACAGGCAAAAGCCUGCAAUCUAAAAUUACACAAUGCAAUAACAAUCAAACUGAGCAGUAAACACCUCAUCAGGAUCAGAUGAAGAGAUCAAUAGACCAACCUCUUCAUCUAUACUUGGCAGGUAAUACUUCAAAAGUUUUUUCCAUUUUGUAAUGACAGUUGCAGCAUUUUUCACCAAAUCACCUGCAAUGAAGCAUAAACAAGCUUUUACACAAGCAAAGAUUUGCAUAUCCUCCUCAGUUACUUGGCACAAAGAGGGAAGUACCAACUUCAGUCACUUAAACAACAAAAUUCAACCCAAUGAUGGUACUACAUUUCAAGAUACUAUUUGCUGGUUGAUUAUCCCUAUUUCUUUGUCUCUCUCUCUCUUCUGAUUUUAAAUACAAAGUGAUGCACUGGUUAUACAAUCAAGACAGAAAACAAGGCUAAGGCUCAGUCUGGAAAAAAAAUGGGCCAGUUUAUUCUGAACAAACUUCAAUCACCCAGGAUGAGGCUAGUUUCAUCUAGUCCUACUUUUUUUAAAAAAAUUGAUUCAUAAACUAGCUUUAGUUUUAACAACUAUAUAUAUUAGCAUGAUACAAUAGGUUGCAUUUAUUACUAUAUAUGUUAACCAAAAAGCAAUCUAAUAGGUCCUAAAGCAAUUUGUUAAAGUCUAUCAAGUUACUCUGGUUUAAAAAGUUUCCAGUUUCAGGCCUUAAUUCAACUGAAAGUACACCCAAUUUACUCUUCAAAUAGAAACGUGUAAAGAAAAAAUCCAACCAUGUUCUUGAGAUAUACUUAACAAAACAAAAUAAUGAUACUGAUGUACAGGCAGUAGCAGCAGCAAAUAGUUACUCCUAACAUCCAGAAAAUUAACCAAACAAUAAUAGCAGAUAAAUGGAGUUAAAAAGAAGACAAAAGAAGACUGUACUAGGUGAUGGAUGUGGUGCACUGAGUGCUGACUUCAUCAUUGAAUAGAAUAAUGCACCAGAACAAUCUGCAGUUGCCAAAUUGUACGACAACCUGAUGCAUAAAAAAUUAAGCUAUCAGAUAUGAUCAAGCAGUCAUCAAUAUAUUGGUUCUUUGCAAGAAUUGUUUCAUUGGAAUACUUAAAUUAGACACAAAAGAUUCCACAUGACUAAAAGCGAAUGGUUUAGUUUUAAAGAAUAAACCUACAUGUAUGUAUAUAUAGAGAUGCCUCUGUGUGUGUCAAUGUGUCAGGGUGUGUUUUUGUGUUUCUGUGGCAUGAGUGAGGUCUUUUUGUGUUCUUGUACAAUGUAAUAGAUAAAUAUGCACUGCAAACAAAGGCAUACCAUGUAAACCUUCCCAAAAUAAAAAAAAAUAAAAAAAAAAUCAGCACUUCAUUAUUAUCUUCUUUAGUGUCAAUUAAGUAUGCAUGACUGAGUCUCCUCAAUUUAUGGUUUCACUUCCCAAAAUAUUUAGAAGUUCUUUUGAGAAGGAAGACCACAAUACGAUAAAGUUUCAUGCAGGUUCGUCAAUGGACUCGAUCUCUAUCUAACUCACCAGGAGGACACAAAUACCCUUUUUCUACACUCCUCUAUUGUCACGUCUUUAUGUAUAUCCAGGCACAAACACCUCCAACAAAAUUUAGAGAAAACCAAACCACCCCAAUUUCCAAUGAAAUCUACAGCAACCUCCCAAAAAACAACCCCAAACAAACAUGCCAAGACUAAAUUAUCACCUCUUCUUCCUCCUCCACCACCCCCAGCACCCUCUCACUCCCAGCACCCACCCCACCCCUCUCAUCCCUCUACCCCCACAAAACCAAAACCAUCACCCCCACCCACCCACAUUGGUGCGCCCUCCCACCACCACCACCUCUACCCUCCUUCCUCCUUCCUCCUUCCUCUUCCUCUCCCCUCUUUUCUUCAUCCCUCUUUUCCCAAGAUUUUGGUUGCGGUCAGGACCAGAUCCAGUCACAACCAAGGUUCAGACCAGAUCUGUCUGCAGAGCAGGGGUGGAGGAGAGAAAAGAGGGCAAGGGGACAGGUGGAGGAGGGAGGAGGAGGAGGGGGCAGAGGUGUGGAUGCAUCAGGGUGGAAUUGGGAGAGUGGGUAGAGGUGGUGUACUUGGAAGUAGGGGAGAGAGAAGAACACCACAGAAAAAACAUCUAACAACACACAUGCCCAAAAACUUUUUUAAAAACUUUCUACAGUGAAGUUUCCUGAAAACAACCAAUCCAAACGGACCAUUAAUUAUUCAGCACUACUUGCCUGUAGUUUUUAUUUAAGUGGCUAGAAUUACUUAACUCAUUCUUUCAGCAAUAUAGAAGUAUUACUCAUACUUUUAGAACUCAUCCAAUUCAUGUCAUGACAAAAGCAUUGAGAAACUAAUCCUGGCAUGCUUGUUUCAUCUUCAAGCAUGGGAUCUAUCAUCCCAUUUCAAGAAAAUUAUCCCGUGAACAUAGAUGACACUACCCAGAUGACAACUUGAUAGGACAAGAAUGUCGAGUGACUGUUUUGUACUCAUUUUGACUUGUAUCAGUAGUCCAGCAGCUAUCUCAUACUAACCAAUUACAGUACUGUACUAUCUUCAAUCCUAACAAUAAUGACGAACCUAAUGGUUGAUGACUGUUUUAAAGAGGAUGAGAAAUUUUAGGAUAAUUAAUCCUAGGAUGGCUCGUCUUUCAUCCAAUCAACUAACCAAAUGAGCCAUUCAGUAUCAUGAUACUUUUGCAGCCAAGUAAGAACAGUCCAAACCAUUUUCUGGAGUAAAAUUUCCAAAUCUAUGCAUUUAAUGCAUGCUUUUGAAAAUCACCUUGAAAAUCCAGCAACAGAACUACGUACACUGUACUCCCAAGAAUUAAAUAAACAGCUCAUGUCUUUGGUUUACAUGAGAGAUUCUACAUCACCAAAAUAGUUCCUGUUCUUCUAUCUACAAAAUUAACAUCACUACAUCUCACUUUAUAUUCCCUGGGAGCUUACUUUUAGAGAUGCAGACAUAUCUUCAACUCUGCUAACUAAAGAUCCCCAGGAAUUAAAGAAAGAAGCAUUUUAACUUGCAUAAAUGUAGAAACCAUCUCACCAUUAAGCACUAAAACAACGUAAAACAUACCGCAAUGAAUUGACCUCCAAUAUUACAUCGUCUUCCUUAAUAUUCUCCUCUAGAGCCCGUUUAAAAGUAGCUUCAACCUGCAAGCGUAAAUGCAAAAUUCAUAUUUGGGUCCAACAAAAACCGUUAAAGGACAGUAUGCCUAUAACCAAAUACCUCGUUCUCAAAAAACUCAUAGUCAUCUUUGACAUCAACAUCAUCAUCAUCAUAAUCAUUCGAAUUAGCAGUAACAGAAUCACGUUCCAGCUCCCCUGAAGGAGGAAGAUUGCCAUCUUGUUGCACCACCUCAAGUUCAUUGUUUGAGGUGUGCAUAAUUUCAAGAAGCUUGGCUGGAGGAAUAGGUGCAACUGAAUGCCUCCAUUCCUCUUCAUGACUGCCCUCACUUGUGGACCAAAUGAAACCAACCCCACCACUACCAACCUGGUGAUUCAAAAUGGCUCGUUAUGCAUGCUAUAAAAAUUCUUUUCAGGUUUAUAUAGACUAGUCGGUACUGAGUCCUCUAAAUUACACAUCAAUCAAGGCUCAGAAAGCUAACGGACCAUGAAAUUUAAAGAAUAUUAUGGCUAAUGAGUAUAAGAUUUUCCACUCAAAUGAGUACCUUACCCAGAUAUGUCAUUCUUUAGGAUGAGACAGAAGAUACAGUAAGAGAGCCUUCUGUGUAAUUUCACCAAUCAUUCUAGAAGAUAUCAUUUUAAAAGCAAACAUUUUUACAUUAAAAGAACAAAACUUUUUAAAACGCAGUAUAAACAAUUUUAAAUAUCCCUAAUGGAGUUUUUGCCCUGGAGAACCUAAGCCAAGCAUACCCGAAAUUAAGAUAAAGAACCCCAGAAUUAGCUAUGCCAGGGCACUUUAUUGAGCAUCAAAAGAACUUAUUAAAAACAUCUACCCACGAUAUCAUACUAUGGUACAUUUCAAAAGCCCUAAUGAAGUUUUCUCCUGGAGAAGUUACACCAAGCAUACUGUGGAUUUAUGAAAACAAAGAACCCCUAAGAUGACUGCUUUACUCAUGAAACAAUAAUCCUGCCUCUUGGGCAUUUUACAGCUCAUUUAACCAAGUUCACCAAUAGAAACCAUGAUAAUGUGAUAAAUCAAGAAACAUUUCUGAACUUUUCACAGAUAAUGUGCAUCUGCGUUACGCUUGUCAAGAGUUGAAUAACAUGUCAAGAAAAGUACAGAAACAAGAAUUUCCUCGAGUCACGAUAAAAUUGGAAUAUAACAGAUGCAUAAAUCACCAAGAAGAUAUCUAAAUAUUCAAAACAAAAAACUAUGACCUAAGUUACAAAUUGAUAGAACUGGUAACCAAACCUCAGAUGCAGCCUGCAGCUGCGACUCAGAUAAUUGUAUAGUUGACUCUUCCUUCAACUUAUCUGGCAAACCAGACAGUGCUGCACAACAAAUGGCUAAUAUCAGGAGUACUCCUGGAUAACUUAAAUAUGUCUGUUCUAAAAUAAGUAGCAAUCACCAAACACAAAGAAAAACACAAUAAACAAAUACAUGAAUAAACAAACUAACAAAUAACUAUGCAUUAGCAUCACUAGCUAACUUAUUCUACAAGUCCAUCUGAAGUAACAUUAUCUAAAAGACAGCUACAUUGGAAGCCACAGACUGCAAUGUUCUUCAGCUCUCUUUUCCACCUUUGGGAUCUCCAGUCUACUGACUGUUAACAAAUACUAAUGGCUUGAUAACACCAACAAAAUGACCAAGACAGCAGAAACUUCAUAACGAAUCUCUCAAAAUGGUCCAAUUUUAAAACAGGAUAUAUCAAGAUCUCCAAACUAGCUUGUCAUAGCUAAGAUCUUUAUAGGCUGAGCUGCACAGAGAUGGUUCCAAACUACACUAAUCUCAUUAAUCCCAUCGAAUGAAGCAGUAAUUUGACUUUUGGAUGGACCUGGCAUAAUACUUGGGGGCCCAAAGGAUAACAAGGUUGUUUAGCCCAAAAAAAAAAGUGAAUGAAUUAAAAAGUGUAUAUUAACAUUAUCAGGAGCAGACAUCACCCAAGCAUUACAACCCCAAUUCAUGAAUAAGCCCAUCAACGACUUGAUUUGGCACAACAUCUUUCUACCUGGUUGUAGGCUCCAAACAUUUGAGAUUCUGGGAUAUCCAGUUAAAACUUUGAUAUGGCAGCACCUAGAUGUCUAUCAACUCUAAUCAAUUCCCUCAUCUCUGGAUUUUCUCCAAUGUAAAAUUGCUACCAACCCAGAAGCUAUUUGAAGCACAAACAACCGAAACGACAGAUAUUCAAAAUGGCUCUGCCCCCAGAUUUGCUUCUCUUGAUAAGGAAAAAUCCCUUGAUCAAUCACUUUCCAUCUGCUCAUGCCCCAGAUUUGCAAAAUGACCACAUUAUCUCCCCCUCACUUCUACAGUAACUGUCCAGAUAUUAUUAUCAGGCACAUAUCUAUCACACUUAUAUAACAAGGUCAUAUUCUUUCUUUUGCUUAUCCUAAUUGAAACAAAUUUUUGCUUAAGCUUGAGUUCAGCAUCUCAGCUAGCUGUAUAUAAUUUUUGUUCCCUUAAAGGAACAUCUUGCUUGUUGCAUGAUUGCCACCUUAGCAUUUCAUGCUAUAGACCAUAUGAAAUCUAUACCAUUUCAUGCUGUAAACAAGCCGAGAUAGUUGAAGGUAAGUAAUUACAUGAAGCAUCCAUGAAUCCAGUGCUGCUGUCAGCAUAUUCCAGUUCCUCAUCACUAUCUUGUUUGAUGGGCUGCUGAUACAAGGAUACCUUUGAGUAUGCAGGAACAAUAAACUGUUGUCCUACCACAACCUGAUGGCAAAAAAAAGCAGCAGCUUAGAUCUAUGGUGCCAAUUAAAUUUCUGAAUGCUCGAAAAAAAACUAAUACGCAUGUAAGAAUAUUUAUGUGCACGACACAUCUGAAUUGGCAAAUUAAGCAACAAGUAUCAGGACAGAAGAUUCAUCAUUCACGUAUAAAGCACUUCAACGUGAUAAUGCAAUAAGAAUAUUUCACCAAAUAUGUUAUUGAUUGUGUAACUUACUUAGUAUGAUUUCAAAAGAUGAAAUUAAUCAAUAGAAGAUAAAUUUCAAAGCCACAAUUACUGCAUAGUUUUUAUGUUAGGCACUAAGCUUAUGAAGAUUUCACAGUGAUUUUUUACACUUAGACCAUAUAAACAUUCAAAAAAGACCAUAAAGAAGUUCUAUGUACCAUUUUGAAUCCAUCUAAUCACAAUGAUCCUUAAAAAGUGCAUACAAGCCUCGCAAAAAAUGGCGUAACCAUAUGCCCUCCUUUGCACUAACCUUGUCAAACUUUCUAUUUGGAACAUCCCGCUUACAUUUCUUUAUAAGCAAAUAUUUGUAGAAAUGUCAACUUCUGAACGUAUUAUUUUGAGAAUUAUAAAUCAAUAGACAAUUAUUUGAGUAAUGUACUGCAUCAUACCCUUUUACUGUUCUCAUUUUCCUUCUCUUCUAAAACUAUUGGAAACAUCACCUUAAUACAAUACUUUUGCUUAUUUGUGGUGCUGUGUUAAAUACGAUCCCAAACAGCACACUCUGUAGAACAGCCAACAGUAAGUCAUACCCCUGCCACUCUUAGAACCAAACCAGCUUCACCCACCCAAAGAGGCCACACUUGGUAUUCCCACCAGCACACAUGCUAUUGAUAUCUUAUACAAUAUAAUAAAGAAUACAGAUAUAAUUCUUUGGCAUGCUCGAAAAAACAAGCAUGCUGUCCAAAUGCUAAUGGACAAGCAUUUUUAUGUGUUAAAUAUCACACACUUGAGCUAUCAAAUAUUAUCUUUCCACAAGGAUCUUUGUCAACCACCAUUAUUUCCCUAUGCCAAUGAAACAUAAUAAUCGUCAGAAACUUAAAAAGAUUUCUGUCACAGAAAAUCGGCAGCCAAUUAAGCUCGUCCAUUACUUGAAGGAUAAUGUUCAUAGCCUUCAUAGUAAGCUGAAAAAACAUGAAGUUCAAUAACUGCAUCCAGGUAAACAAGAGGAUGCUGUUUGCUGAGUAAUAAUAACAUACAACAGAAAAUUUUAUGAAGUUUCUCUUCUUUUCUACUUCUAGGAGAACUUGAAAUUGAAACGUUAGUUAAAAAGGAAAACCUUGUAUGACAAGACUACACCAGGUUCCAGAAUCACUCCUGACUUUAUUACCACCCCAUCACACACUAUUGCAUGCUUUAGUUGACAACCAUCUUCAAUCGUAACAUUGUGCCAUAUGUAGCAACCCUCUAUUGAAACAUUUGCACCAAUUUUACAACCUUCACCAACUACUGAAUUUGAAAUUUGAGACUGGCUUCCAAUGGUAGUGCCACUUCCUAUAACGGUAAAUGGCCCAACUUGCGCAGAACGUGACUGCCCCACCACUGAACAUAAUCAAGUGACAGCAUCAGAAGGAACUAAAAGAUAAUGGUCCCAGUUCACUCAGAGCAAUAGCUUCCACUUAAAAAAGUUUGGAGACCAUAUUACAAGAUAUACAUGGAGUAGCAGCUCAUUCAGGAGAACAAAAAGGAAGAAGAAGAAACAAACUUUAAGAAAAUCCAACAAAACUUAGCUAUUUUGGAAACUAAAAGGGAGGGCAGUGGUUAACUAUGAACAGAUUACAGCAUUAUACAUAAGAUAAACAAAGGUGACUGGAAUUAAGAAAUGGAUUCUUUUGCAGUCAAAGCAACCUAUCUAUUGCAAUAUUAGUAAAAUUUCUUUAAAAUAAAAAGAAACAGAAGGUAAACAUGGGAAAUCUAUUCCUACAAUUCUGUUGGUCAAUUAAAAAUAUCUUAUGUCAAAAGCAGCCGUGACUGCUACGUGCUCGCAAAGAAAGUCACUAAGAUAGGGUAAAACAUUGAAACUAUAUCAGCUUAUAGACAGAGCUCCCAUAAGUGCACCCUGCAAGUAACAUAACAUUCAUUUGUAGGGCAACCUAAUACAGAAAACAAGACAAGAGAGGAAAGACCAUGUGACACAUUAGCUCCCAUGACCAGCACCCAGAGGGGACAAAUAAUGGAGAACCAACAUGAAGAAAACCUCCAUAUCAACAUCUUCCAAUUUUUCUCUAUCCAUUUUUGUUAAUUUUUAAAUUUUCAGAAAAAACAAAUAGUGAAAGCACAACAGAUGGGCAUUAUGUCAUCUGAUGCACUUCCACCUCAUCUGACAGAGUGAUCAAAUACAGGAGGUGGACGCUAAAGCACCAUCAUCAACUUCUUUCGACACCAACUCAUAGAAGAUCAAUCAGCCAGCUAAUAAGCACAUUACUUACCUGAUGCUCGGUACAUUCCUUGUCUGUCAAGUUUAGUAGAAGAAUUUCCAAAAAAUUGUACAUCAGGCACCAAUGGAUAUGUCCAUCUUUGAAUAAUGUCCUUGCUGACAGUAUCAUAGCUUCGGAAAUUAUCAAUUCUAGCCGCAUAAUUUGAUUGAAUUUCAUGAGUGAAAAUCUUGUAACCCAUUAUCUGACAACAAAGAAAAGAUGUACAAAAGAUCAGAAAGACAGAGUAUACAUGCGUCAAUCAACCAAAAGAGAUUUUAAAGACUUGGAAUUUGCAAAGGCUUGCUUGAUUGCAUAGCCAAUUAUACUAAUCACAAGGUUCCACUUUUAUGACCAAGAUAAACAAACCAAACAUUAGCACUAAAACCUAAGCACAGGACCAACUUAAAGAGGUAGACAAAAUAUCACUGAGCAUCCAUUGGCUACUUGAAAGAAUAAAAUCAAAGAUGCAACAUUUCUUGCACCACCAAAAGGUCAUCUAAGCUUUAUACCAUAUCAUGAGCAAAUAAAUUGAGGUUGUAAGCAUGUUGGAAAAUGCAGAUCUUACAUUCCACAAAUUAUAAGAGGAACAGGAGGAUGAGAAGUAAAACAAUAAGCUAUCAAAUAUUGAGCAAGCACACUGCAGUUCUGAGACUGAUUGACUAUGAGGAUUUAUAUCUAAAGCAACUAUAUAAGAAGGAAGAGGAAAAGAAAUCCUCCCAUCAUACUUAGAUGCAAGAACAUCAUGCACUAAAAAUAAUUAAUGAGGCAUAUUUCUGAGACACAAGUAGUUCGGUGUAAAAGUAGAAGGUUCCACAUGUUGGUAACUUCUUGCAAUAAAUCCAGCUAAUGGAUAAAGCUCUAAGAAAGAUCAAAACAAUGCCAUGCAUUUCCAAAUUCAUUAGAGUCAAGAAGAGGAUAUAAAAGAUAGUGUAUAAAAAUAACAUUAGCUAAAAAGUACACAGAUGAGUGAAGUUCAUAUGCAUCUAUUCAAAGGUCUGUUUAUGGUUUUGUGAAUUGAUACUAUUCCAGGAUUCCUAUACUGGUCAAACUAGUCCAACAGUGGCGAAAAUGUUCUCAUUCAGUUUGUCCUGUCCAUAGCUUUUGGUUAUUCAAGAAGAGAUAAGACUUACUGAUAUACUUCUAAGCACACAAAAGAAGGUUUCCAUUAAACAUGGCAUGACAUGCCCAUCAACCAUAAAACAGCUCAAGCAAAUUUCAAGCACAAACUGCAGAGGACUUUUAUUGAUUUUGAAACUAUAGAGGACCUUUGUUCAAGGGUAUCUCAAAAUGGUGGUACGUUGUUAUUGAAGAUAGUUAAUUUUUUCCAAUUGUAUGGAACCUUUACUAACCUCAUAUCCGCAAGAACAUCCAGCUCAUCAGGAUUUACUUGGUUAGUUUAAAAAAUUAAUUUUACAAAGCAUUUAUAACAUGAUGGAGGCAUCCCUGCAUCAUGCAAUGCUGAAUUUUACUAUAUCUCAUGGGCAACCUGCUCAAGCAUGUAGUUUCAUGCUGCUGACUGCUCAUACUAGCAUUGCUAAUAAUGAGAUUUCUACACCAUCUGCAAAAGCAAUAUCUGCUAUACGUGCACAUUAGCUUUCCAAGUAUGCCAUUUCUACAUUCAUCUUCAGUCUAUACUGGUCAGCAAAGGGCACCAAUAAUUCAUACUAGCAUUGCUAAUAAUGAGAUUUCUAUACCAUCUGCAAAAGCAAUAUCUGCUAUACGUGCACAUUAGCUUUCCAAGUAUGCCAUUUCUACAUUCAUCUUCAGUCUAUAUUGGUCAGCAAAGGGCACCAAUAAUUCAUGCAUUUAUCUAUGACAGGAUACAUCACAAAUACAUCUUAGUCACUAAGACCUAAUUGAUUGUUACUAUACCUCCCACAAAAUUCUGAAAAGACAGAGGUCUUGUGGCCAGGAGGCUUCUACCAAAUGUCUCAUCAACAUCUGCCCUAUUUUAAGACCAUUGCUUGGCCCUCCCUAAGAGAGAAGAAUUAAGAUUCUUAAGCUAGCAUUUCUCAUUUCUCAUUUGCUUGGCCCUCUCUAUAUUAGCAUGGGAUUGUGGUGCACCAUUUUUGUCAUAUUUCUCAUUUAUCCAUCAAACUAUCGCCUAGUGUCCCUUUCAAACAUGGAGAAAAUAGCUUUUUGCUUAAGGCAAUGACGCUAGUCUACAGCAGAAGCUUCUUUGAUGCAAAAGGUGAAAUUUCUUUGCCUGUAGAUAACUCUCUCUCUCUCUCUUGCUUCCCAUGCUUGUGCAGUACCACCCAUACACCUAACACCUGAAACUAACUAAUUCGCUACAUUUCUUUGAUUUCCGCUUAGCAUUUUUUCAAUCAAAUCAAUUAAUGCAGUCACCCAACUAUUUUAGAAGGCACAUUAUCUCGAACUAGACCUAGGCUUGAUUUAAAAAUAAAAAUACCCAUUAAUUACUCUACAGAGAGUCUUUAUGAGAAAAAGCUCCAGAAAUAAAUGGUCCAUAUGCACACCCAAGAGAAAAUUAGUAAGACAAUGUACGAAAACAUAAAAUCAAGACCAGAAUAAGAGGUAUAAGUAAUUUUUCCAAUACACUGACUCAGAAGCUCUUUCCAGAGCUGAUUUCUAUUUACUUCAAUAACACAAAAAAUAAAGACAUUGCUACUACAAGCCUUCAAAGAAAACACCUGGACAUGCACUCACACCACUGUAUUACAAGAUGUUCUUAGACCAGAGUACUCUGUAUACAUAGCUAAAAUGCAGUGAGAUCCACAAGACUGCAGUUACUCAUAGGCCUUAUCAAAUACUUUGUCUACCACUUCCCACUUUGAUUGGUGGAGUGCUUAGGCAGUAAACUGCUCCUGUGCAUGUCCAGGUGUGUGUGUGUGUGUGUGAGAGAGAGAGAGAGAGAGAGAGAGAAAUAAGCCAAGAGAUGCAAGGCAUACAUCAUCAUCAAGCAAACCCUUCAAAAAAUGACGCCGUAGAUGUUGAUAGUCAAAAUUGUCAGCGAAUGUGCUCAGGACUUCCGGAGAGCAAAUGUCAAUGUAGCAAUCCUGCAAAAAACCAUAAAAUCCAAUUACACUGCCCCAAAAACAUAACUAUUUUCCGGGGGAAAAUGACGAAGAAAAAAGACGGUAUCUUUGGGGGAAUCUCUAAUGAUUUGACAAGGCUGUCUUACAAGUAAAUUACCAAAAGUUAUCAAUUUUGACACCAUAAACCAUACCCAGGAAACUAAAAGUACGGGUAUCCAGAUGAACUGCCCCAGCAGUGAGUUUUUAAGUUGAUAAGAAUAUGCUUAAGAUCGAGUCUAUCCAUGUCCACAUAUCAAAGCAGUAAGCAAACUAAGUGAAAUCCAUUCAUGGUGUGGCAGAGAACAAAAGUGUUCACGGAAAAGAAGUAGCAGGCUGCACUUCCAUACAUCAGGGAUGACGAAAACUGACCCCCUCCUACCCCCCCCCCAACAAAAAAAUACCAAAAAAGAGGGGAAAAAGUUGAUGAUGAUGAUGAUGAAGAAACUCAGUAAGUUUGAAAAUGACCAUUAAUAAGCACUAGAUUCUCUUUCGGUUUCUAUUGCAAAGCCAUGUUAAGUAGCAAAUCUCAAAACUAACUUUGUCGAAAGCACAAACAAUACCAAAGGCAAGUGAAAAAUAACUCAAAAUACAAACCUGCUUGUCAUUAUGCAGAUAAAUAGAUGGAUGAUCAGAAAGCAAUGUCUUAUCAAGUGACACUGUUCCUUUAUCAGACUUAUCCUCGUAAUAGAGGAGUUGCUUUGUAUCAGGAUCAAUUGCCAUAAACAACUCAUCAGUUCCAAGACGAGAUUGACGAGUUGUUGGAGAUGUUUUUGACUGUGUUAUGACCAUGGUCAUUAUGGCAUUGCUAUCCUUUCUCCUCCUCUCCUUAUGUUCUCCAAGUGCCUCUGCAAGAGACAUAUUACUCACUGUAUCUCCACUAACAAGGACAAAAUCUCCACGUAUCUACAGAGGUAAAAGUAAAGCCAAUCAUCACAUGAUAAACAACAGGCGGAAAGCAGUAGCAAAACUUAGAUAAAUAAAUAAAUAAGAAGAUCCAAACACAUGAACUAUCCUAGUCACAGAGAACAAAUGGUAUAUUGCACCUAAAUUAGCUUACUGAUACAUUACAUAUAACAUCGAUCAAGUCAAGUUCCUAAACUGCUGGCAGCAUUUAAUGAUUGAAACAAAUAUGUACUUUCCUUUCCUCCUUUCCUGGAGAGACUUUGCAAAGUACAAACCAUUGGAAGAACAGGACUGACAAGCAAAAACAGAGAGCAAAAGUUCAAUUUUGUAUUUGAAAUGAACAACAGAAUGGAGGGUGCAUCAAGUGGGUAUAAUUUUCUUUUCAACAUAUUUUUCACAUAACAUCUUUUUCAAGGCUACUUUGACAAAAAGUAUAGUAAUCCCUACAAACUUCCAAGAAAAUGACUUUCCACCCAUCCAAGUCAGACAGAGUAAAUGUAGAAGUCCAGACUGUAAAUUGUCCUCUAAUCAGAAAGUGAGCAUAAAAGAACAAAAAGCAAUGUCAAAACUCCACAAGAGACUCUCAAGUCCUUAUUCAAGUCGCUGCAAAUAUUGCCAGUUGGCUGUUCAUCCUGCUGAGAUUGCAAACAACACAUUGAAAUAUAAUUCCGUUUUACUUGGAAGGAGAGAACAGAAGCUUUUCCAUAGAUAAUCACACGUAACAUAAAAUCAACAAUAGUGAACAAUCAGUGACAACUCAGAAUGCUAUCUUGAUUCUUCAGCUAAAUCUAUCAAAUAAAAUUAAACCCAAAAUGGAUCUUUUUCUCACCCUAAAGUUCAUUUUCCCUUUGAUUUUAAGCAUUGGCAGACAAUAACAAUUAUAGUUUCACACUGAUUUGCUGAAUUUCCGACAUCCUAAGGUUUCAUUAAUAGAAAAAACAGUCAUUGAUAAUGUAACAAAGCUACAACAACACAAAACAUCCAUUAAAUCAACAUACCACAUUUUGCUCAUAUAUCAAACGCAAAGCAUCACCAGCACCAACCGCAUUGUUCGAUUCGAUAGCCGUCACAGAAAAGUUCGGUUGUGCAAACCACUGCGAAUUUUCCAAAUGCUCAGCCACUUGUUUCGCAUGAGCACAACAAAACACAAAAACCUCUUCAACUCCAGCUGAUUCUAGCCACGCUAAAGUAUAAUCAAUCAUCGGAACAUUCACUAGCGGCAGCAAAACCUUCAAUUUCAUAAAUAUUCAGAUUAAAAACAACAUAUACGCAGCAAUUGAACAGAAAAUUUUCACUUGAAUUUCAAGAUGCAUAGACAAUUGAAUUACCUUCGGGCGCUCAAGGGUUAUCGGGCGGAACUUAGUGGCGAAGCUAUCAGCUAAGAGGAUGGCUUGCAAGGGAACACGUGCUAAUUCCUCGACAGAAACUUCCGUUGCAGCGGCGGUUCCUCCGCCACCGCCUCCUCGGUUUCUGCCACUCUGUUUCGCCACCAUUUUUUCCCAGCUUGGCUAAGUGGUUUCUGAAAUUUUAAUGAAGUAAUUAGACACAAAAUUGUUCAAUUGAGGAUUUGAAAAACGAGAAUUCCUGGUGUUGCUGGGUGGGUAAAAACCCUCCUGGGACAUAUAACAUAUUCCUUCUUGAAGUCCAUAAACCCCAGUGGUUUUUCCGGGGAAAUGGCUGAUUUAGUCCUCCAACUCUUCUGGUAAACAGAUUUAGUCCCUAUACUUUCUUUAUCUCUCUAAUUAAUCUUUGGACUUCUAUUUUUAUGUCAAUUUAGUCCCUCCAAACAUGUGAAGCAUUUUCACACUUAUAUAAAAUAGUGAAUUAGAAGUAUUCCCAUAUUGGUUAAGUACCAUACUGCCCCAAAAUGUAUCAUGUUGUUUCAAGUAUUGCGAACUCAAUUUAGCUAACAGAGUUUAGUUUAUCAUCUUUAAUUUAAUAAUUUAUAAGCCACUUCUGAUAAAGUUGAAUAAUUAGGUUUUGGGAAAAAUGUAUUUUUCAUCCUCGAAAUUUGGUAUAACGACCAAUUUCGUCCGCAAAGUGUUGAUGCAAACACAUUUUAUCCUCAAACUUGCUCAAUUUCGAUCGAUUGAGGACAAUUGAUAGAAAUCAAACCAAAUUGGAUGGAGACUUGCUUGCUCCGUUAGCCAUUGUAUUUUGGACAGCUAAAUGGGGAAUAAAUCCCUUAUUAUUUCUCUUCCUUGUUCGCUUAUGGUCUCUCUUCUUCUCUCUUCAUCGAGCCUUAAUUUUAGCCACUCCCAUAGCAUCUUCAAUCCUCAAUUUGCCAACAAGAAGAGUGGCAAUAAAGGAUGCCGAGGAGAAAUUAGUCUCAAGCAAUAAGUAGCCCAAAUUUUGGAGAUUGGAUGUUAUCAAUAGGCUUAUGUGAUUAUGGGCUGUAAACAAAAUUAACAACUUGUUGGCAUGAUGAAAAUCAAAGAAGAAGGUUCAUUGGUUGUCCUCUAUGGUCAGUAAGAAAUAUUUGUGAUAUGAACAUACUAAUGCUUGUUUGAUUUUUUGCUGUCUAAUUCGGAAAAAAUGUUCUUGUUUUGUUUCUUUAGAGAUCGAAUAUAUGCAAGUACUUUAAGUGGGUUGAUGAGCCAAUGUGUGCAAGAGGAAGAGUUCUUAUACUAGUUAACUGAAAAAGGUGAACUAGAUCAAAGACAAUGUUGAAAAAAUGCGCAAGAGGGAGAAAAUUUGGAUUAGCAUAAUUGUGAUGUUGGUUGUCCUGCUGGUUCUGAGUUGGAGGUGCAAAAGCGAAGGAAAUCCAGAGGGGAGCAAGUUGCUGCAGAGUUUGGAGUGAUCGGCCCUGUUUGGAAGGUGAGUUUUUUGGGUGUUUAUAUAAAACUUUAUUGUAGAUCACUGUAGAAGUUGUAGAAAAAUUUUUGUAAGAUGAAAAUUUUUUUCCUUUUCAUUUUCUUUAUUUCUUUUUCUUUUUUCUUUUUUUUCUUUCUUUUUUUUUCUUUUCCUUCCUCCCCUCCCGCUUCUAUCCCUUCCUCUUCCCUUCCCUGUUCCCUCUCCCGAGACUUCCAUGGUCGUAACUCACAGCAAAUUUUUUUUUUUUUUUUUGCUUUUUUUCUCUUCCCCUCUAUCUCCCUCGCCACCCCUCCCUAAUACUCUCCUUUUUAUCUUCUUCAAUACAACCUUCACCACACACAGCAAUUCCAUUCCAAUAGCUCCUUCUCCUGCUGCUCCUUUUCCUCCUCUUCCUCCAAAAUCUUCUAAUUCAUUUUCAUUCUCUUCUUCAGGAAGUUGUUGGACAAUGACGCGCAUGAAAUUUGCCUGGGAAGCGGCCACUAGCCCGACGGCUUGGCUUUUCGAGAGCCGAGGCUUAUUGUCUUGGGUCAGAGCUGGAGCCAGAGAGGAGAGCUGCUUAACAGUUUCGCGAGCUUUGAGGAGGUUUUUGCUAGGUUGAUUAGGCUUCCUGGACACAGUUUGGCUAAGGUUUUGGGAAUGGUGCAGAGUCGCUGCGGCGAAGAUGGAAAAAUAGCGGUGGCUACGAUCAACCGCGAACAGGGCUGAGGAAAGUGGAACUGUUAAAAACAUCGUCGUCCUAAGACGGAUAAGUGAAAUGGGACGGAUCAUCAUCACCGGCAGAGCUAGUCGGAAGUCUGUACUUCUACUACUAAGUAGUCACUUCCUAGGAAAAAGGAAAGUUUUUUUUUUUGCUUUUUUCCUCUUCCCCUCUGGCCGCCGGAAUAAUGACCGGCGCUAGAAGUGGUGGUGGUGGUGGCCGCCGGCGACGGAAUACGUGGUGGGUUGGGUGGGGGAGGAAAAAGAAGAAAAAUUGAAGGGAAAGUUUUUUGUGUAUUUUUGAAGUGUGUAGGUUAAAAACUUUGAUAAAUUUUUUGGAUUCCUGUAGCAAAAGUUGUUAAAAAACUAGUAUUAUACAAACUUGGUAAAAACUUGAGGUUCCAUACAGGUCCGAUAUUUUGUUGUUUUUGCAGAAGAAGAUCAGAAAGUGACAUUGGUGUACUGAGAAAUUGAAACUGUAUUUUGUAAAAAUUGAUGUGAAUUGCAGUUGUAAUUGACCUUUGUUUUUUGGUAAAAAAAUGUGUGAAUCAAAUCGAGAACUUGAUGUAGAUGGAACCGAGUAGGAAUCGAAAUGUAUGAGAAUCCCAUAUUGUGCAAGGAAAUGGAACAUGUUCUACUAGCAAGAAACUAGUUUCAAUUCUGAAAUUGUAAUUGGUUUCCCCAAAUUUGUUGUCCCUGUUUUACAUUAAAGGGUACUUGACUGUGUCUUUAUUUUAUACCAAAUUGCAUGAAUUAAUGUACAAAAGAAACUGUAAAAGAAAAGAAAACAAUAUAAGACAGAGAAAUGUAUGAAAACAUGAAAAGUGAUUGUAUUGAAUUCAUAGUUUCAUAUGGUCAUGUUUCCUAGGGGUGGCAAUUCGGGUCCAAAUCAGGUUGGCGUCAGAAAAUCUGUUGACCCGAAUCCGACUCGCCAACCCGUGACGGGUUAGGUAUACUGACCCGAACCCGAAAAUUUCAGGUUGACGGGUUGGCGGGUCGACCCGAAAUGACCCGAAACUUAAUUUUAAUUUAUUAAUUUAUCACUGUAAUUUCUAAUAAAAUUAAUUUCUCACAAAACUAAUUACAUAAUCAAGUAAUAAAAAUUUAAAUAAAUAAUUCCAAACCAAAUCUAAAAUAAAUUAAACACCGUAAAAGUGUUUUAUCCCAAACAAAAUAUAAAAUAAAUUAAAACAAUAUAAAAGUAAAAAAUAAUAUAAUAUAUUAUUUGUCCAAAUAUAAUAAUUUCAACUUCACACAAAUUAAAUAAAUUCAUUUAGGAUUAAGUAAUUAAUGCCUUUGAAAAAAAGAAUAACUUAGUUUAGUUAGAUAAAAUUAUUUUUAUGUUUAUUAAAUUAUUUUUAAUUCGUAAACGGGUCAUAUCGGGUCAUAUCAGGUCACUACGGAUUGACCCGAAAUCGACCUGUUUUCUUUUCGGGUUCAUCGGGUUCAACUCGAUUCUUACUCGAAUUCCCGAAACCUCAACCCAAACCCAUUAAUUUCGUGUUAGGUUCGUGUCGUGUUUUCAGGUCGUGUCGAAAAUUGUCACCCCUAAUGUUUCCCAUUGAGUUGUGGACCAUAGACACACGUGUUUCUCACUUAGCUUGGGACCAUAAACAAAAAAAAAAAAAAAAAAAAAACAAAAUGUUACUACUAUUAGUUAAAAUAGGUCCUAGAUGCAAUAUUUUUUUUUUCGGAGACGACAAAAGUUGUAUAACCUAAUCUAUUCUACACUAAGGGGAGGGGGCGGACCUAAGGAGGCCCAGGGAUAACUCGGAGGGGACUGAAUCACCACCGGACUAAACGGAUGCACAACACACCCGCUUAAAUUUUUUUGAAACAAAUCACUUAAUUGUGAUAUUUUUGACACCAAGCUAGGUAGGUCUUAGAUGCAAUAGUUAUCUUCGCAUCUUUUAUCAAGUCAAAAGAGCCAAAAGUUAAUGCAUAAUUGUCUUUUUCAAUUCUGAGAAACUCAGACUUUUUGCAGAUAAAAGUUAAUGCAUAAUUGUCGCAAAGCCAAUAAUUGUCACAGCAGCUUCUCUUUUCCCUUUGACGUAGGUGACCAGCAACGACAUGUAUGUGAACAUCUUUAAUGUUGAAGGAAUUUGAACCUUAUCUUUAGUUAUAGGAAGUGGGUUGUUGCUAUAUUUCACUUGAGACCUUAACAAUCAAAAAAAAAAAAAAAAGGUUAAAACUACAGCAUUUCUUAUAUAUCCAGCAACACAUGUUCAACUAGACAUACACUAGUCAUGUUAGUGCUUCUUGUUCACCUUGCUGCCUCUGCUACAAAAAACUGGGAACGAACAUUGAACUUCAGAAUAAAAGAAAAUGUAAAAACGAAUUGUAAAUGCAAAUUCCAAUUUUGUAUUUCUACCCUUUUUCCUGAAGACUUAGUAGCAGGCCUCUUGGUCUUCCUUCUGACAUGUAACUUAAAAGGAAAGCAAUAGUUACCUUCAUAUCUAUUUAACCAAUUAGUGUAGACUAGGAGGUGCUCACCACGCUUACGCGCGGUGUAGAUUUCAAAGACUGGCAUGCCCGGUGUUGCUGAGUAAACUAAUAAAAAACUGGAAACAAGGAAUUGACAAAAUUGGAAAUUAUAAUGAAUAACAUAUCAAAGGCAUAAGUAAAAAACAUUACAAGUAAUAAGUGCAGACUGUUGAUACAUGAAGGCUCGAGUAAAAAUACAGAAUAGGUAGAUUGUCAAUCAUUAAUGUUGAGAUUGUUAAUGUUGAGGUUGUCAAUGUUGAGAGCUUCAUUUGUAGUGUAGUAAGUGGUAUAUUUCAUAAGUUACGCAUUUCAUCAUCCUGGACUUUGAAGUAGAAGGCUUGAUGUAGCAUAUAAGCAUCUUUCAAUGUAGAAUAGUCUGGAGAUGCUGAGCUAUAUCCAUGUUCUAGUGCGGAUAAAGCGAGAAAGCAAUAUAAGCUUUUGAAAAAAUAGAGGGAAACAAUUGUUUUGUAAAAAAAAAUGAUAAUUACUUCUAUUUGCAAACAUUAGAGCUCAGUAGUUGAAAACUGAGUUAGCCUUUCGACUUCAGAGGACAUUGCAAUAGGACAGAGAGUUCCAGUUAAAUCCAUGAUCCAAAUCGAAAUACAAUCCUUGGAAUUAAUAAACAAAUAUACAAGUGAUUGGAGGCUUAGAAAUCAGAUACAAUAGAUUACCAAUUUAUGCAUGUGUUAAACAGAUAUCUGCACUAUGUAGAAUCUGAUGCCAAUGGUUUAGUCAAACAAGGAAAGGAAAAUGUCUCAAAACUUUAUUUGUCAAAAUAUAGAAUGCACUUGUUAAUUUUACCUCACUUCCACUCAAGGGAUGACAACAUAUAGUUUUCUUUCAAGACUCCAGGACUCUACUCCAAACCAAAGCUCUUCUCUUAUCCUGAAAAAAUGGAGGGGGCAAUAUAACCUUUAUGAUUCUAAAAACCUCCAGAAUACUGUUUAAGAACCCACGGAGGGAACAUAAAGGAAACUACAAAAAUCAUAACAGAAAUAGAUAUAGACCGCUCCAUGAGAAGGCCUUGAUGCUCAAGUAGGAUAAGAAGUGGUUUAAAUGGGUCAGCUUCUAACAUCUUCAAGGAUCUUAUUGCCCUUCUUUCCUCUGUUUGGCACACCUGUGCCAAAAGGACAAUGAAACCUAAAUCCUGAAAAUAGCUUGACAUAAAGAUCUUCUAAAUUGCAGUUUUACUGCAUAGGAUUCUAUUUCUCCAAGCUGAACUCCAUAAGUUGGUGACUGACGUAGCUUCUCAUUCAAAGUAUCCAACUGUAAAUUCAAAAUCAAGAUAAUAGGAAGCAUGAAUGAAACAUAUUAUGGAAUUAAAAUCCUUUUUAACAGCAUCAGUUAUUUAUCGAGAAAACUAAUUGUUAUCUUGCAGCAUGUUGACACUUGACAUUAACUGAACCGAGCCAAAGAACUGCUAUCAUGCCCUUCCACCUUGUCUAGCCGAAAAUCUGAGAAAAGAAAAUCAAGCAUCCUCCAAAACCUUGUAAUCAGAGUUGGCAUGAUGUUUUAAGGUAGAAACUUCUCAGUCAAGCUUGACUUGCUGAUUUACACAACACAUGAUUAUACCUAUGUGCUUAUUAUCAUCGCUAAAGAAGAUUUCUUCCCCAUACUUUAAAGUUAAUGCCAGCUCUCACUAUGCUAUUCAGGUACAUAAUUGACACAUUACUUAUAGUAGCAAAAAAUUGGAACAAUUACUGUCACAACUUUUCACAUUUAUAGGUACCAAGCAGUAGGCACAUUCACAUGUACUGGAAAAAGUAACGGAAUUUUUUUCAUGUCAUGAAGAUUUGUUGGUAUUACCGUAUUCCAUUCUGAAAAGGGGUAGUGGACUAUGUAAGGAAGCUUAACAUUUUAUUUAGGACACAUAAGGAAGUCACUGAGCAUCUAUUGUACAGGUAAAUGGAUCAACAAUGUAUGGAUUUGCAAGUUAAUGUACACACCAAAAUGCAGAAUAUAAGCCACAUAUAGUAAGGGAAGAGAGAGAGAGAGAGAGAGUUGCAUUUUGUUUACCUGAUAAAGGUAACUCUCUGUAAAUGAAAGUAUUGGUAAGUAUUUGAAUAUCAACUGCGGCUGGUGAACAUCCAUCUUAUGAAACAUAAAAUAUGACCUGCACCGUUCAUCAGUACCGUAAGUCCAACAAUGUUGAGGACAAUCCCAAAGGAAAAGUCUUGCCAUUGCAAGAACAAGAAUUUCCUCCUAUAAUAUAAAGUAAAACCAGCCUGAAUAAAUUUUAAACCCAGUUCUGUAGGCAAAAGAAAAGACUCCUAUACUACUAUAAAAAAAAGGACUUUUGCUAAAGAUUGCAUGGUUUGGUUAUAACAAAGAACAAUAUUGCUCACAAAAUCUUCCAAUGUAGAAUUUGUUCAAAGCAUGGAGUCCAGCCCAAUUGUAGCAGCUCCUUGGAAGUUGUCUCAUGAUCAAUCAACCUUUUGCUCAUCAUCACAAUGUACUGGCACAGCAUUUUCAAUAUGUUCAUUACCUACAAAUUAAAACAGAACAGUCAGCUAAAAUUUGCAGAAAGAAUUAAUAAACCUAAAAGAUAUACCCUAUAUCCCUUCCAAGAAGUAGUUUAGCUCAAGUGACAUUUUGCAGAAGAUAAAUUUUUUAUUUUAAAGUGACAUUUUGCAGAAGUUUCAGACAAUUAAUACAAACGAGCAAGUGACCUCUUUUUUUCAGAUUCAUUUAAGUCAUAUAUGGCCUAAACUCAGCUCCACUAUGUAAUGAAGCUGAGGGCACAAUCCAUAAGAAGAUAGUCAACAAACAAAAAAUGUUGAGAGUAGAACUGGAAAACUUUACUUUCUUCCCCAAUACAUUGCAGUGCUUCGUCCAAAAAUAAAGUUGAAAUUUGUCAAAAGGAUAAUCACAAGCAUAAGUAGAGUUCUUGCAUUCCAUUUACUCUAACCUUAGAUCACCCAAAGAAGCUUAGGCAAGUUAUCAUACAACACAAAAAAGUAACCUUUGUCAUAUACUCUGAAAUCAGUUUGCACUUCAUUUCCAUGUCAAGCGCACUGCAAGGUUGAACCUUCACCAAAUUGAUUCAAGGUCACAAGGGGAGAACAAUGAAACAAAUAGGUGAAACAACUCGAAACUUUUUAAUUGGGUGUCUGUCUGCCUGAGAGUCUGAUUGAGAUGAACUGGAAGUCUGGAACAGCAAAUAAAAUUUAAUAGAGAAUAAAAGAAAAUUUAAUCAAGGGGCAGGAACAGCAUAAACAAAAUUAAAAUGGAGAAAGCAGUGGACUUGAGAGACAAACAAAAAACAGAGAGAUGGAGAGAAGAGAUUUGACUUGUGUUGAAGAAAAGAAGAGAGGGGCAAAAGAGCAGAGGAAGAAGAUUGAUUGAUUGAGAAAAGGAAAAGGAGAAACAAAGGGGUGAGGAGGACGUCUGGACUCUGGAGAUUGGAGUGGGUAAGAGUUGGUGGAGCAGUUCCUGAUUUCCAGUGAAGAGUCUGAAGACCACGACACACGUGAAUUGAUGUAAGAAAUUAAACAAUCAAAGGAUGAAGACAUGCAUGAACACCAUCUACAGUACAAAAAUGUAGCGAGCGAAAACGGUAAAGCAAGCUUAAACAAUGUACGAAGCAAAAAUACUAAAGAAAGCAUGAAGAUUCUGAAGAAUGCAUGUUGGGGAAAAUAAGUAAAGUAUGAAAUGACCAGGAAGGAGGCAAGAAAUAGCCGGCAACUAAUGCAGCCAGAAGGAGGAAAAAGCCAAGCAAAACAAAGAAACAAGCAUCUGACCUGCAACCAAAUUCCUGCCAUAACACAUAACAGAAGAUCAGCUCCAUAGCAGCGUCCUCCGAAGAACGAGAAUGCCAGAAAAUCCCAAGUACAAGGACAUCAAAUAAAGCUGUAAAAGAGGAAAUGACAAGCACAGAAAGAUGAGAUAUUGGAAAGAAAACAAAGAGGCGGGAAAGCUUUUUUUUUUUGUUUUAAAAUGAGCUCACCACAAUAGCAACGGCAUACAUGGAUCAGCAUUCAUCAGCACGGAAACAGGGGAAAAAGGAACAAAGUUAGCGAAUAAAAUAGCAAAUGCUGCCACAGGUGAUAAGGAGAAGCAGUAAACAGCAUAUAAAACGAAAAGCGAAAAACUGGUGGAGAUAAUUACCCUGAAGUUGGUCAAUAGAAAUGAAAGCUCCAAAAGAACAGAGAACGAAGCAGAGGGAUAAAGAGCAAACCAACCUUAUAGCUGAAACAACAGAACGAAAGAGGGAAAAUGAUCACCGGAUGCAUAAACCAACCACAAAGCAUGAUAGCAUCUGCAAAAUCCAGGACAGAAAGUAUGGAGCAGCUUCCAAAGACGUACGGAGGACAACGUUCGAAAGUGUAAGAGGCAAAGAAGGGACGCAUGGCUGAAAAGUUACACAGUGACAAAGCAUUGUUUUGACAUCUAUAACCCAACAACAGCUAAACUAAGUCAACCCACAAAAAGAAAGUAAAUAAACAUGUAAGACAAGGGUAAAUAGGUAAAACAGGAGUUGUCACAUUGACCCAAAUACACACUCUAACCUCACCAAAAACCUGACAUUAGGUAAAAUGGGAAGCAGAGUAUUACUAUCAGCACUACAAGCCUAACACUAUUAUUAUUAUUAUUAUUAUGACCACUAUGAGUCCGGUCUUGGGUUCCAUUGAAGGAGUUAAUUUUUUUCAGCCAGGGCUCGGUGGCUCACAAACGCAAUCCACAGGCCAACAAUCAUGGAGAACGACCACUUUUCAGCAAAUCAUCAAAUGACAUGUCAGCAAACAAAACACACCAUCGGACAACUUCCUAAGCACUUAGUCUAUAUAUGGUUGAUAAAUAUAGCAAGUAAUAAAACAAACUGACAGGUAGUUUGGAUGCCUUAUCAAUGCUAGUCUUGUCAGAUACAUGUGGAGUACGUAAAAUCUCCAAAUCUUCAGUUAAUCCCCAUCUUUGUUGAACAAAUCACUGUCCUUUUGGACCACAUUUAUAGGCUAAGAAUCAACCACUCCAUUAUUAGACCCCUGCAUUAUGCCCCCUUUGAUGAUAUAUAUAUAUAUAUAUAUAUAUAUAUAUAAGGUUAAAACUUAGAUUGAUUAUCAUUUAAACCAUUCUGUUUGAUGUUUAAAUUUUUAAUUUUGUAAAUUUUAUAUGUUUAGAAGGAGGAUUGAGUAUCAUAGGCUUUUUUUAAGUGUCAAUAAGCUUUUUUGCCACAAGUAAAUUUAGAAUUUGGCUCUUAACAUAGGGGCAAAUGCAUAAAAAUACAGCAGCUAAAUAUAGUCCCUCCAUAAACGGGUUUCCAACUGUUUAAAAUUCGGGGAUAAUUUCAGAACUCUCUCUUGAGAUUUCUGACUAUUUCAUUGGAUUCCCUUCUAAGUUAUGAAAAUUACACUAACCUCCCUUGAGGUUAAUUAUCUUGUAACAAUUAGGCCCAAUCAAUAAUUCAUAAGUGAUAUUAGGAGAGAGAAAAUAAUAUAAUUUCAUCAUUGCCCUUAAUCUACUAUAUUAUUUAAUUAAUUUAAUACCAACCCACAUAUUAAAGAAAAACACUAAAAUUUGUUGUUUAUCAUUAGGAAUCAAAUCACAUAUAACAUAAAAAAUAUAUAUCAUUUUAUUUUUUUUCACUUAAUACAAGAUCACAAUUAUUCUUUUCAGUUACAUACCCAUUGUUAAAUAUGAUUAACAACAAAUGAUCAAAAAAUUUGCAACCAAAAUAUCAUAGAGAAAAAACUUUAGCAUCAUAAAUAUUCUUAUCAACAUAUUAAGGUUAGUUGCUGAAAUUUUUAUGGUAUUAAAUUUCAUUCUUUGUAAUAUUUUGAUUACGAAUUUUUUUUAAUUAUUUGUUUGUAAUCAUGCUUGAUAAUGGGUUUGAAAUUGAAAAGAGUAAUUUGAAUAUUAUAUUAAGUGAAAUAUAUAGAAUGAUAUACUAUUUUUAAUGCCAUAUGAGAUUUAAUUUCUAAUGAUAAAUAGCAAAUUUUAGUAUUUUUUUUAAUAUUUUGGUUGAAUAGCCUCCAUUUGAAUUAACUAUUUUUUGGGAUGUUUUUUGAAAAAAUGUACGGUAACUGUGUAUAUGAAAAAUUUUUACUAUAAAUAUUUUUUUUUGAAAUAUUUGAUAUACCGUAUGAAUGAGAUGUUUUUUGAAUUAUUUUUAUUUGUGUAUUACUAUAACAUUGUAUUUAAAAAACUUGUUUUUUGAAAAAUGGCCAAUCCAAAUGGAUAACAAUGAAUUUAGUAGAUGAAAAGUAAUGAUAUACUAUUUUUAAUAAUAUAUGUGAUUUAAUCUCUAAUGAUAAAUAAUAAAUUCUAGUAUUUUCUUUAAUUUUUAGGCUUGUAUUAAAUAAUUUAGUAGAUGAGGGGGCAACGUAAAAUCAUAUUAUCUCCUCUCUCCUUAUAUGACUUUUUAAUUGUUUGUUGGAUCUAGAUGUUACAAGAUAAUAAAACUCAAAAGAGGUUAGUAUAAUUUUCAAAAUUUAGAGGGAGACCAGUGAAAUUAUCCCUAAAAUUUGACUUUGAUCAUAUCCUUGCCGAAAGUACAAAAUACGGACAAAGUGUCACGGCACCUGAGUGCAAUCCUUCCGUAAAGGGGUCUCCAACUGUCCCAACGAGUCCCACGUGCGAAUAUAAAUGAACUGAGUUCGGAGUAUAUAAUCAAUCUUCUCUUCCUUCUCCUCCGACUUCGUUCCUCCGCUUUAUACGUUCCCUUUUUCACCUUUCUUUGCUUCAGCGUGCGCAUAACUACCCAAAAAACCUACGCAUUCAACCUAUCCAUACAUUAUUGCCUGGUAGUAGAUACUAUAAAAAUGAGAAAGAGAAAGUUGUCACGGUAUUCUUGGACUAUUCUGCUCCUUUCCAGAAAUUUCAACGUCUUCCCACUUCUUCCCGAGUUGGGUUCACCUUUUGGCUCGCUUUUAAGCUGAAUACUCGUCAGAUAAUCUUGAUUACCCUUGCCUUUUGGUCCAGAAUCCAAGAAAAAUUGCGUUUUUCUUCCAUUUGGGUUUCUCAUGGAGAGUCCAGAGACGUGAAAAAUUGCGUACGUGUAACCAUCUGAUUCAAUCAGAAUUUCGUUUGAUUUUCCCGGGAUUUUACUGAGGAGACGAAUAUAAAAGAGAAAAUGGGUCUGAUGGAAUUAACUACAACGUCUGAUCACGCAUCAAUUGUGUCCAUAAAUCUGUUUGUGGCAUUGCUUUGUGGCUGUAUUGUAAUUGGCCAUUUGCUUGAGGACAACCGAUGGAUGAAUGAAUCUAUUACAGCCCUGAUUAUUGUAAGAAAUUUACUCUGAUUAGUCCUCCUAUCUAUUGACUGGUUUAAUGGCUUGUGAAGUUUAAUGUUGUACUAGCAAAAGUACGAUUCUGAUGUCAUAUCUGAUAAUGGAUGUUGACAUAUGUUGAUCAUGGAUGAUGGAUUAAGAGUUAUGUAACUUACUCGUGUUCAAUGUUUGCGUUGUCUUUUUGAGGUAAGACUGUUAAAUAUACUACAUUUUGGUUGGCAGGGUUUGUGUACUGGAGUUGUUAUUUUGCUGUUAAGUAAGGGAAGAAGCUCGCAUCUGCUUGUGUUUAGCGAAGAUCUUUUCUUUAUAUAUCUGCUUCCGCCUAUCAUAUUUAAUGCUGGGUAGGUCCAAGUCUUUCAUUUUGUUCCUAUCAGUGAUUAUUUUUCGUUAAUUUCUGUUCACUUGUUAGCAUUUAAUAUAUUUACUCGUGUGUAUGCUCAUUAAGUUAUUCUUCUCCUGAUGGUGGAGCUUAAUGAGUAUACACAUGAGUAAAAAUAUGUUCACUUGUUAGCAUUUAAUAUAUUUACUCAUGAGUAUACACGUGUAUACUUGUUCACCUGUCCAUUGAUCUUUUAUCUAUCUAAUCUAAUCUAACUGUAAAAUAAAUAAGAACCUCUUUUUGGUGUUUAUGGUUUGGUCAUUUUAUGUUAUGCCAAACGUGCCACUUAUAGUUACUGUUCAAACUGUUCAGUUUGCCGCCUUUUCUCCAGCAUGAUCUUAAGUACAAUAACAUCCUUAGAUGAAAAAAGGCAAUAACUAUAGGCUUCUGAAAUAAGCACAUGCAUAAGUUGUACCAAAAACGCUAUUAUGACAUAAAUAUAUUGUUAAAUAAGGCAAUCAUUCAAGUAACUAGAGGAUGAAAUUUCAAUCCUUGUACAACAGUUUUGAAGAAAUGCAGACAUUUGCUGUGAAGAGCUAAGAUAUCAGGACCACCAGCUAUUUUGGUUGUAUAGAAAUUUAGAAUAUUAGUCCAAAUUUCUAAAGUUGAUAAUGGCUUAAUUAAAAUGAUAAAUAAAGCUAACUAUAAUUCAUGUUGAAACCAAUUGUUACCAUAUAUAAAGAGGUGUUUGUUUUGUGAUGAAUUGAAGUGCAUAAAAAUCUGUUCUUUGACAUUGAGAAGGCUGUGAUCAUGUGGGCAUUUUUACAUAACCUGUGAUCAUGCUGGCAUUUUACAUACUUAUUCUUUUUUGUUGCUGUUAGAUCUCUUUGUCAAACUUAGCAUGGAGGGACUUUUUCUAAUAACAUAAUGGUUUUGGCACUGACUAGGUGUGCUUUAGUCAGAGAGAAUAUAAAUUAUUGCAAUUUUUCUUUUCUUUUCCCCUUUCUUUUGAAGAAAUAACUACAGUUGAAAGUUGAAAAACAUGUGGGUUUCACAAGUACUUUUGGAAGGGCAGCAUGACUAACAUACAGUUACACUAAUGGAGUUACACAAAAGUGGGUGUUUGGUGGCCUACAAGAGAGGAAGAUUUGAUUUUUGUGGAGCUUAUGCUUGCGAAGUGUAACUUUUGGGAUAAAAUGGUCUAAUAAUGUAUAUACAUGUUCUCAUUGAACAAGUUAGUAGCAAGCUUGUCAAUUACGGGGGGACAGACCUUCCAUCAUGGCAAUGAGUAAAUUGCAGUCUCUUCUGCAGUGGGUAAAAUGGUACUUUAAGGUCUGGCUCUUUGAUAGUGGAGAUAGGUUGCCAAAAUUCAUGGCUUGAGCACUUUGUGACAUAGUAUUUCAAUUGCACAGGAAUCUUUUUCUGGAUAUAUGCAUUUUUAGUAUACAUUUCCUUUCAUCUUUAUUAUCUAUCAGGAACCAUGAACAAAGUUUUAUGCAGCUGCACAACAGUCUUCAUUAUAUUGGAAUCUUUACUGACAAAAGACACGAAGAUUGACAGGCAAAUAACUUUCAUCUCUAGAGAACUAGAGAAACAGUUGAGCAGUUGGGGACUAAUUUUACGAAAAAAAGUACUCGGUAAAAAGAGGAAAAAAAAUGUUAGAAGAAUUAUACCUCGUAUGGGUGGAUGAUAUAGAGUGGAAUAUGCAUGUGGACAAUAAAAACUAGGACUGCUGUUUACAGUGACUGAUGCUCCAACAUUAACCUUGACUCUUGAUGCUCUUAACAUUACCCUCUAGGAGCAUUAGAUAUAAAGCAUAUUGUACAACUGAUCUCCUGCAUGUGAUUAUGGCCAUUUAGCUUGAUCCUUAGCCAUGGCUCAUGUAUUUAAAUAAGAAAUAAGUGAAAAUCCAAGUGAAUAUGAAGACAUGGAAAGGAAAGGAAUGGCAAAUAUGAGAAAGUGUAGAAGCAAGAAAAGUAAGGAAGCUUAACAUUUCUAAAUAAUAUGUAUAUUUCUUUAUCCCAUUUAUAGUGGUAAGAAUUGAACAGAGGGUUAUAAAAACUGAUACUACCUAUUUCAACGUAGUUAGGUGCAUCACAUUGUUUCUGUUACUGGGAUAAGAACCCUAUUGGUUAACAGUUCAAGCAUUGAACAGUAGGGAUAUGUAUCAAUGAGUGAAAUGAAACAGGUAGGGUCAUGGACAGUUGCCUUGUAGUGCUGCUGCAGUUAGCAGCGGUAUCUAAUUAGCUUCUACCUAGAAUAGAAAUCUGAAAAGCACCAACUGUAGAUAUUAAAUAUAUUGCUAUUAAAGAAGAUGGAAACCGCCAUUUACUUGCAUAAUUGCCAAGUGCUAAUUUCUUACUCGUUAAAGAAAUUCUUUCUUAUAUCGAGCCUAAAAUGUCAUGCUCUAAGGAUCUUGUUAUUCCUCUAAUCUUGCAUCACUAUUUGUCCUGUUAGUCAUAGGGAUCCUGCACAGUUUGUUCUGUAUUUGAAAAUCAGGGUUUGUAUUUGCUGUUCUGUUUAGCACGCGAAAAUGGCAUUGAACUCUCUCUCUCUCUCUCUCUCUCUACACACACACACAUAUUUGAUUUCCAUGUGGUCCUUGGAUUUUGAUCAUUUAGCUGCUGCAUCGAUCCAUGUAUGCCUUCAUAAGGAGUGGAUAGAUGAAAUUAAAGAUUUCUUACAUAUAGUAUCAGAGUCCACCUUUGCCGCACAACAUGGGGUUUAUUAAAUUGUUGUGGUUUACUGACAUGUAGUAUGUCAUGAUCUAGCACAAUCCUACUUUAUUGCAUGGGUAGGAAAGUUAUUCUCUUUGAGAUCAUUAUGAGCUCAUGCUUAUAGCAAUUACUUUGCUUUAUAUUUUGUUAGAUUGGUGUUUUAAUGAUGUGAAAUGUAGUCCUUGCAUUUUGCAGAAAUUUCUUUUGUUGUGGCUUUUAAGAAUUAUUUGUGUUAACCCUUUUACUAUGACAGGUUUCAGGUGAAAAAGAAGCAAUUUUUUCGUAAUUUCAUCACUAUUAUGCUUUUUGGAGCUGUGGGUACCCUAGUUUCAUGGGCAAUAAUAUCAUUAGGUAUGUGCGAUGCGUUGACAUACAUUGUAUUUAUUCCCUAAAUGCUCCACUACUGUGAAUUUUAUAUAUGACUCAGUAAGAUAGAGUUUUUUGGGGCUGGCAACUUUCCUCGGUAGUUGCCAAAAAAAAAAAAUCCUCAGAACUUUGAAGAAAAAGGAAACUAAUGUAUUCCAAAAGAUGUAUUUUCAGUAGCCAUUCCCUUUUUCUGUUACUUGUUUUGCUAUGCAUGCAUUUCAGUUAGUUAAGUUUUGUAGACUUUACUGUUUCGGAGACUUUACUUAUAAUGAGCAAAUUACUCGGGUAACCACGAAACUUUUCAAAUAGUCGAGUUUUGGCCACUCAACUAUGAAUAGUGUGUUAUUACCCACUGAACUAUCAAAAGUGUAAAUUUUGACCCAUUCCUUCUUAUUUCACCAUUAACAUUGCCAAAUCUAACUAUAAUUAGUAUGCCUCCUGAAUCGUGUGGACCUCUAAAUCUAAUAGAGUUAAUGGCGGAAUUAGACAGAAUGGCCCAAAUAAUUCAGUGGGUAAAAACAUACUAUUAAUAACUGAGUGACCAUAUCUUGACUAUUCAAAAAGUUCAAUGACCACCCGGGUAAUUUGCUCUACUUAUAAUACUUGGUAGAACUUUUGUGUAAGUUUGAUAUCUCAAUGAUUCUCACCUAACUUUCUUGUUCCAAUGAUACUGAUUCCUCUUCAUCCCUAUUUAGCUGCCUUUUGUUUAAGACCUUUGUUUGUAUGCAUGGGAACCGAAAUGUCCCAGAUAAUGCUUUUCCAAAAUUUUGUGGUGCAAAAAAUUUGUAUAGAUGUAACCCUACUGCUUUAGAUUAUGGCAAAUGGCAGAGAGAGCAAAAGAUGUUUAAUUCAAAAACUGAAUAGAUAUGGUUUCAUGGUUAACCACUCUUGGGAUACUCAACUAUUUAAGUUUCUUUGAUUUGAUACUAGCUCAUAUUCAUGAUUCCCUUGCAUUUGACCUAGGUGCCAUUCAAAUCUUUAGUAGAAUGGAUUUUGGCGAUUUUGAUAUUGGGGAUUAUCUAGGUAUCAACUUGUACUUCAGUCCAACUUCUCUCUCUCUCUCUCCUCCCUCGUCCUUGGCCUCUGACAUUCUCUUUUGCUGUCUGUCCAUCAUUUUAGCCAUUGGUGCAAUAUUUGCCGCAACAGAUUCUGUAUGCACUUUGCAGGUAAAAGAAAACAGUGAAGGUAGUCAAUACUUCCCUUUUGUCACACAUAGUAUGCUCUGAAACUAUAACUGUUGAUGUUGCAGGUGCUACAUCAGGAUGAGACACCCCUGCUUUACAGUCUGGUUUUUGGAGAAGGUGUUGUGAAUGAUGCUACAUCAGUGGUGCUUUUCAAUGCCAUUCAGAGCUUUGACAUGUCAAAAAUUGAUCCUAAAAUCGCCCUGCAUUUUAUUGGAAAUUUUCUUUAUCUAUUCUUUACUAGCACCGUCCUGGGGGUAAUCGUAAGUCAGUCUCAAUAUCAAUCUCUCUCUGUCUCUCUUUCUUCUCUUUUGUGUGUGUCAAAGUACAGAUGGGUUGUUCAAGAAAACAUUUCCUUUACUUUCUUUUCUGCAGGCUGGAUUGCUUUGUGCUUACAUCAUCAAGAAACUGUAUUUUGGCAGGUAUAGGACAAAAAAGUCUUUUGCUGCUGCUGUACUGUUCUCUAGAGAUAUUUGUUUUCUGGUUGUCUUUGAUUUGUAAGCUGUAACUACUGAAAGAGAGGCUUCUGAUGCUAUCCAUACUAUCUUCUCUUGUGGGUGCCUGACAGUAAAAAUUCCACCAACGUCCACUAUGUCUCUAUUAAAACUGGACACUGAUCUUUUCUCAGCACUCCAGCAAAUUUUUUGAAAGAACAUGAUUGGAAAUUGUAAACUGUUUUUCCCCCCUUUUCAGCUCCAUAAUUUGACUGCAUACAGGAUAUCACAUCACUGUGCAGAUUCAGUAGAGGCUUUUUUUUUUUCCCAAGUGUCUGUGUUGCAAUUGUCAAUUUCUUAAAAAUUAAGAAGCUGGAAAAUCAGGACCUUUUUAAAUCAGCACCCCAAGCCCAAGUGCGUGUGGAUUUUGUUUUAGUUUAGAUGGAUCCAUCAUGAAAAAUAUUAGUUAAGUACAUGUUUCAAAAUAAAAUUGGAAAGCUUAAUUCUGUGUUUGAUGCAGUUCAUAGAAGUCUUAUUUGGUUGUGUUAUUUGUCUCUGUUACUUGUUUGUCCAUUUAUUUGGUAGAUAUCUAAUUUCGUAUGUGAAGACUUGGAAUACUUCAUAGCAAAGGUGCUUGAUGUCAGUGAAUAUACCAUGCAUGAAAUUUACCAGGGAUGCAAAUAGUCAUAGGUUUGACUGGAUAUAUUAGCAUCUAUUUUUUCAAGAGUUGGGGAUUAUAUUUGGUUGUUGAUUUUCCUUGGUUUCUGUUUCUGCAAGUUGUUAUCUAUGCCAGACUAAAAUGAAUGCUAUCAUUCAGGCAUUCAACUGAUCGUGAGGUGGCUCUAAUGAUGCUUAUGGCUUAUCUAUCCUAUAUGCUGGCAGAAGUAAGAUACUAUUUGACUUUUCGUGCUGAGGAGCCUUGAUUUCGUUGCUUUCAGAUUCUUUUUGUUUAAGCAUUUGUUGUUGCCGCUCAUUUAACUUAACAUAGAUCUCCUUUAUCUACUAUUCAGUUAUUAGAUUUGAGUGGCAUUCUUACGGUGUUCUUUUGUGGGAUAGUUAUGUCCCACUACACCUGGCACAAUGUGACUGAGAGUUCAAGAAUUACUACCAAGUAUGCUCUCCUGGAAUGUCUUUGCUUUUCUUUACAAUUGAAUUUGCAGAUAACUUCAUAUCAUUAGAAUAAGCUAUCAACCAAUGUUUUAAACUCUCUAUACAUUGAACUGACAGGCAUACGUUUGCAACUUUGUCAUUUGUUGCCGAGACUUUCAUCUUUCUUUAUGUCGGUAUGGAUGCAUUGGACAUUGAAAAGUGGCGUUUUAUCAGUGAUAGGUAUGCCUUUUGUUAGAUAUUUAGCAGUGAGGCCUAUCCUUCUUUCUCUAUCUUGAAAUAGAAUCUAGUUCUCAAAUGCAGAGAAAUAUUUUCUAGUACUCUUCAUUUUCAUAAUUUGCUCCUAGUUUCUUGCAUAUGGAAUUGUUACGUAAUAACUUGCUAAUGAUUAUUUCUUCUCCUUUGCAGUCCUGGAACCUCAGUUGCCGUGAGUUCAAUUUUGCUAAGCCUGGUUUUACUUGGUAGGGCAGCUUUUGUGUUUCCCCUAUCCUUUUUAUCUAACUUGGCCAAGAAAUCUACAAGUGAAAAGAUUUCCUUCAAACAGCAAGUAAGCAUUUCCUUAAACUUGAUGUUAGGCAUUCUACUAGUUAUUUGAUCGUGGAGUUGACAAGUUCUGGUGCUUUAGGUCAUUAUAUGGUGGGCUGGCUUGAUCAGAGGUGCUGUGUCUAUGGCACUUGCAUAUAAUAAGGCAAGUAUGUGGAUAUAUUGGGCUGGCUUGAUGCAUGUUAUGCGCCAGCAGAAUUAUAUCUAUUGUGUGUGAGUAGAUGUGAAUUGGAAAUUGAAGAAGAGACAUCUGCAGCCAUUUGUCACUCGUCUUUUUGUGGAUCUGAGUGGGUGUUUUUCUUAGUUCCUUUAUUGUCCUUGAACUGAAAAAUUUCUGCAUCUGUGUAGUUCACUAGCUUGGGACAUACUAACUUGCGAGGAAAUGCAAUAAUGAUCACUAGCACCAUUACUCUUGUUCUUUUUAGCACAGUGGUAAAUAACCCGUCUCCCUGCCUUCAUGUAUUCUCAUUUCUCCAUUGCGUUACCUCAUCUGUCUCAUCAGUUACCCACUGACCACAAAUUUAAAAUCUAUUUAUUUGUUUUGGCUUAGGUAUUCGGCUUAUUGACAAAGCCGCUUAUAAGGCUGUUGCUGCCACCUUUGAAACAUGCCACCAGUGCUGCAUCUUCUGACCCUAAUUCUCCCAAUUCACUCGGUGUUCCGCUAAUCAGCCAUUCACAGGACUCUGACAGUUUUUUAAGCGGGCAUGACAUCCCACGGCCAUCUAGUAUACGCAUGCUUUUGACAACACCAACCUACACCGUGCAUCGUCUCUGGCGUAGGUUUGAUGACAGAUUUAUGCGUCCUGUGUUUGGUGGGCGGGGGUUUGUUCCUGUUGUUCCUGGUUCCCCUACAGAAGGUAAUCUAAGUUAAAUGCCUGCACUGCAUGAUUUAAAAGCAAAAGAUAGAGACUCGUGGGAGAUGUGCUCUCAACAAGGGUUGGACUUGCUGACCGAGUAUUUUGCUGUAAUUUCUAUGUAAAUUACCUUGCCAAGCUAACAUCAAGUUUUGUAUAGAUCAAAAACUACCAUGUAUACAUACUUGCGUCCAUAUAUGCACAGGUAGAUGGUUGAAUAAGAGUUGUCAUUUUGGCAGUUGCCCAGCAUUCAACCAAGAAAAUCCUGCUAGAUUGCGGGGAUUUGAACUGUGUCAUAAAUUAGAAGACAAGUGGAGAAACUUUCCUCUUUUCUUUUGACUUGAAAAGAGCAGUUUAACUUUCGUGUUCUCAACUGUUACAUUCCCUCCAAAGAAAAAGAGUUUCGUACCGUAUCAUGCUGUAUUCCAAAAUAGUUGCAGUUUUACAACUUCAAGCAAUGGAUGAGACAAUUGAACUGGUAACUUUUUGUUCUCAUAUCUGUUCUACAUUUAGCGGUGCCUCCACACAGAAACUCCUACAUAUUUAUAAGUGCAGGAGAGAGAGAGAGGGGGGGGGGGAAUGUAGCACGUCCGAGGUGGAAGAUUUGUCGUUAUAACAUCUUGAUUGUUUGGAUAGUGUUUAUUUGUAUGAUUUUUUUUUAUUUAUUUGCAUUAUUAACACUUUUUUCAAUCAUUUUUGUUAUCUCAAAUACGUCACAUCAAAAAAAUAUUAUCCUGAAUAAUCUCAGUUACUGAGGGCUGGUGCAAUUAUGCCUAGAUUUUGUGCUCAAUUCUGUUAGAACCAUUUGGAAGGCUAUUCAAUGGAGUUCUCCAUUAGGCAAAUGGAUUUCAGGCUUGCAGCUGCACAUAUGCGCACAAAAGUAGUGUCUCAAGCGUUCCAUAGUACCGAACGUGUCAUGAGGACUUCCUUCUUGAGCGAAAUGUGGAAAAAUCUUUAGAAAUUAGUAGCAGCAGCUGGAGAAAAAUCGAUUCAAACGAGUCUUGAAUAUCAGUUACAUAAAUAGAUUAAAAAGUCGUAUACCACAUUCUCUGCCUUGCUUGAAAAUGAACAGUAUGGAUAAUCUUGUUUUGAAGUUAUGAUCAUAUCCUCGUACUAACCAAUUUAUGCCAUCAAAUUCAGACAUUAUACCACACGCAGUUAACAGAAUUGUGAGAAGGAAACUAGGUGUCCCCUGCUCAUACUGCUAAUGUAGAAUAUAUUUCUCCAGCAGUUAGAAUGAUGGGUACAAAUGAUGAUUGCUAUAUUUUGCUAUUCCUUUUAACUUAUAAAAGCUUUGCAGAUUACUAAACUACUUGGAUCAUAACUCAUAAGAGAUCAACCAAACUCACAAUAAAAGUUAAAAAAUGCAAAGCUUUUUUUUUAAUUAACUCAACGGUUCUAUAUUAUCAAUCUCCAGUUUCUAAGAAAGGAAAACCAUCUGAAACGCAAGACCCAAACAAUGAACCAUCUCUCAAACUAUAUACAACAUUUUGCACACGCAAAAGACAGGUUUCUGAAAAUUUAUUUAUUCAAAGAGAUAUACAUAUACUAGUUGGCUGUGGCUAUAUUUGUUAGGUGGCUAACAUAACGUAGAAAAAGCUU